UAGGGAUUGGUAAGCAAAAGAACAUGAAUAGCGUGCUACCAUGGAAGACUAGAAAAAAUAAUUCAAGAACUACAAUUCGAAAUCAGCUUGCAAAUUGCUGGUAGUGAAGGAGAAAAGAAGGUAUUGGUUAAAGAAAAUGAAGCCCUGCGAGUUCAGAUUCAGAAAUGAAAACAGCCGCAGAAAACCCUCUGAGGAGUAUAAGGGAUGAAAAGCUCCUAGAGAACCUGCGACGAAAAGUAACCAAAUACGGUUUUGACCUGAAUAAGGCAGAUGAUGAAUUGUCCAGAGCUUGGAGACAAUUAUCUAAGAGUGCUGAAGAAAGGGCCCGCAUACUGGAGCAGUUAAAAGAAGGGAGGAGCAAUGAAAGCACUUGUCUAAAACGGAGAGUUAUCACAGAUGAAAGCAAAAUGGCCAAGCAGGCCAAGGACUUCAAGGUUGAGAGGGAACAUUGCUAUGCGGUAAUAGCGGGGUUGGAAAGAGAUUUGAAGCAAUUUCAAAAGCUAAAUCAGACAGCUGAUUGGCCUUUAGAAGAACGGGCUGAACAAAUAGGCGUUUGCUACAAGAAAAAAGGGGUAAUCCGAGAAAAGGUGCGAGCAAUUGCAGACUACAUUACCAUUAAAUGCAGUCACUAUGAAGACAUGAAAAAAUCCAUAUUUUUCUCCGCUGCUAUGACCUUCGUCCGGCAAGUAAUUGAAGAUCUCCACAAUCUUCAAGAAAGUCUAGCACGCAAAUCCACAACAAGGCCGACUGAUGCCCCGGAAGUUCCAAAAGCACUAGAAGUAUACUCAUAGAUUUGUGUUUUCUAAAAGAAUCUGAUUGUUGUCUUUUCGAGUCUGUAAGGGUAUAAAGUCCUUGUCUAUUAGUUGCCUUUAGCCAUUGUAAUCAAAGUUUAUAUCAUUAUCAAAUUGAAAAUCCCAAAAAUAUUUUGCUUAACUUGUUGUUUUCCAUUAACUACGCUCGGUAUGAUUCAUGCAAGUCAUGGUACGUAGGCAAUCUCUAUAGGAUUUGACUGUAUUCUUUAAAAUAAAAUAAAAACAACAAAAAGAGAGGAAAUAAAAGGGAACAAAAGGAAAUUGAAAUAAAGGCCGAGAGGACACAUUCGACUGGGGCAAGCAUUAUAUGCAUAGGUGCAUCAUGCUCAACGUGUGAUUUCCUGUUUGUCAUCUAUCCUGAAACUAACUACGUUUUCUUGAAUUACAGUUCAGGUGUUUAGAAAAGUGGUUGGUUUUGUGGUAAACUGGCUUCACACGGAUACUUCACUCGUUCAAAGGGAAAUAUAGAAAUGUCAACUGAGAUGACUCAAGUCACCCUCCCUAUUCCAGAAGAUAGUCCAAUCACGGGAGUACUGACUUCUAAUACUGCAGCGGCCGAAGAAAACAGGAUCGUGCGGCUUCAUGUCAUGGAAAUGUGGGACACAUGGACCAAUGGAAAGGAACCUCCCAGUUCCAUCCCUGGAUUUCCCAAGAUAUUUCCAUGGUCAGGAGGUACCUCUACUAUUCCUAUCAGUCACCCGAUCAUUCUCUUGGGGCAGCCCACCAUUUCUACUAAUUUUGUUGGGGCACCCUCUAAAGGCUUCCCAAUAUCUUUACAGCCCCUUCGUGCGCAGCUACAACACAGCCUACAGUAUCGAGGCCUGUAUUUGACCCUGCAGCCUUUACCUUCCAAACUCCAAAUUACCAAAAUGAGCCUCCCCCGUACCCUACAUAUAGCUACCCUCAGCCAACAUAUGAACUUACCCCUGUGAAGAACAAAACUUCCAAAGCACCCGAGCAGGAUGAUAUCACAAGGAGAAUGAGGAUUCUUGAGCAAAGCCUGAACAAUUUGCAAAAACUGAGCGGACAGAAAAGUGUAGCCUAUUCAGGCCUGUGCAUGUUCCCCCAUAUCCAUUUUCCUUUGGGGUUUAAAGUGCCAAAAUUUGAAAAAUACGAUGUCCAUGGCGACCCUAUCGCCUAUCUGAAAAAAUAUUGUAAUCAGUUACGUCGAGCAAGCGGAAAGGAAGAGCUCCUGAUGGCAUACUUUAGGGAAAGCUUAGUAGGGAUUGCUUCCGAAUGGUAUAUAGACCAAGACAUCAACCGGUGGCAUAUAUGGGAUGACCUUGCCCGGGACUUUGUGAAACAAUUUUAGUACAAUGUUGACAUUGCCCCGGAUAGGAACUCCCUAGCCAAUCUGAAGAAGAAACCGGCUGAAAGCUUCAGGGAGUACGUUAUCAAAUGGCGAGAGCAAGAAUCAAGGGUGAAGCCUCCUAUGGAUGAUACGGAAAUGGUCACCGUCUUUUUGCAGGCACAUGAGACAGACUAUUUUCAGAACAUGAUGUCCGCAAUGGGCAUACCAUUCGCUGAAGCAAUAAAGAUUGGAGAAAUGGUGGAACCUGGCCUCUAAACAGGGAGGAUUCUAAGCCAAUCUGCCAUCAGAGCCACCUCCGAAGCCAUACAAGGAGGGGCGGGAGGAAUUCCCAGGAACAAGAAAAGAGAAGAGGCAUCCAUGGCAGCCUCCGGGGCGAGGAAACAACAUACCCACAGAUAUGCAUUCUCUGACAGAGCGCCUCAACAUUACUAUCCUCACAGAGACAUGCAUUAUGUCGGGGGCAAAGAAACAACAUAACCACAUAAAUGCAUUCUCUGACAGUGCGCCUUAACACUACUAUCCUCACGGAGACAUGCAUUAUGUCUCUCAACCCUACGCGGUCAUGAAUGCUCAACCAUUCCCCGACCUCAACAGCAGAAUAGCAGAAAUCAAGCUUCGAGGAAUCAACUCCCGCAUAAUCAUUACAAUCCUCGCCAUCAGCAAAACAACUAUCGUCCCCGGGAGCCACCCCGGAGACAAAACUUCACCCCAAUUGGAGAGUCCUAUGCCACCAUGUUUCCAAAGCUAGUCCACAUUGGACUCCUCCAACCUGUACCCCCAAAUAGACAGAAUCUUGAAUCACCAUCUUACCAAAGGGGUGUACGCUGUACCUACCACUCAGGGGCAGAGGGCCACGAUACUGAAAAUUGUUGGACCUUAAAGCGAGCGGUGGAAGACUUGAUUGAUCAAAAGAAAAUAGUUCUCAGAGAUGACGAAGUCCCAAAUAUAACUGACAACCCGUUACCAUCUCAUAACAACGGGUCGGUCAUCGGAAUGAUCUGUGAGGACAAAGAGUAUAAGUCCCGAAUGUAACUGACAACCCGUUACCGGCUCACAACAGCAGGCCGGUCAUCGAAAUGAUCUACGAGGACAGAGAAUUCAAUCCCACUCUCAAGGCCAUCAUAGCCAUCACCGAGGCCGAUAGGAAGUCAAAGAUCACCCCAAAGAAGGUGGAUAAAGAGAAAACAAAUGAAGCCAAAAGCCCUGAAGAAGAGAAGAAGGCUGAGGUCAAAGCUGAAAUCACUCUCGCCAAAGAAACAAUACUCUAUAUUCCCCGGGGAAGCAAAGAAAAGCGGCCCACUUUAAGCCCUCCCAAAAGAUUUGAUCUAAACAGAGAUCUGAACAUACCAAAUAAGGCCUAUGUGUUAUGGGGAUCAAUCAAACCACCCGUGCCGAACGAGCCCGUGGCUAUUGGUCGCGCGCAACAAAAGCCCAUGACCAAACCUUCAGCUGUUCCCUGGGAUUAUCAGGAAACCAUUGUUACGCACAAGGGAAGAGAAGUCCUUGGAUAAGCCCCAAAGGGAUGUCCCACGAAGAAAUACUUGAACGUGGAAGAAGUAAAUGCCGCUGCCAAACGGUGAUUCCCGCCAAAGAAGCCAGUGAACAUGAGGAAGCAGAAGCCUUUUUCAGAAAAUGAAGAUGCCAGAGUAUGAAGUGGUAGAUCAACUCCAUAAAUCCCCUGAAUAGAUGUCUCUACUGUCACUCCAAAUGAAAUCUCCUGAGCAUCAACAAGUGUUGGCCAAAACAUUAAACGAAGCUUAUGUGCCAGCUGAGACCUCGGUAGAAUAGUUGGAGAAAAUGGCAGAGAGAUUCUUCACCAUCAAUCAAAUAUUGUUCAGUAAGAAUGACCUACCCCCAGAGGGAGCUUCUCAUAACAAGGCUUUGCAUCUCACUGUCAAAUAUGAUUGGUAUAACGUUAAGAGAGUGAUGGUUGAUGGGGGUUCCGGAGUAGACAUAUGCCCACUAUCUACCCUACAGAGAAUGGAGAUCGAGACAGGGAGGAUCCGUCCCAACAACGUAUGUGUUCGGGCCUUCAAUGGAAUAGAAAGUGAUACCAUAUGUGAAAUCGAUCUGGUGCUCACCAUUGGUCCAGUCGACUUCAAUGUAACCUUCCAGGUGUUGGACAUGGAAACCUCUUACAACUACCUCCUAGGACGGCCUUGGAUUCAUGCGGCAUGGGCAGUGCCUUCAACCUUGCACCAAAUGCUGAAAUUUGAGUAUGAAAAUCAGGAGAUUGUCGUUCAUAGGGAGGACGAGCAAUCAAUUUAUCAGAACCCAUCUGUCCCCUGUCUAGAGCCAAGGAAGGCAGUAAACACAUAGUUUAUCAAGCUUUUGAAGAUGUAGUAGCCGACCAGCAUGAAGAGGGGAAGUCGUUUCCUAAGCCUUUUCUUUCAAAUGCUUCAAUCAUGGUAGCAAAGGAAAUCACGCGUCAAGGCUUCAAGCCAGGCAAGGGACUCGCAAGCUCCCUACAAGGCAUAACCGAGCCAGUCGCCAUGCCUGCCACGGCAAAGUUCUUUGGACUAGGAUUUCAUCCAACCUCAGAAGAUAUCACCUGGGCUAAUUGCAGAAAGUGCCAAGGAUGGACCUUACCACGACCCAUGCCUCACUUGUACAAAACCUUUGUAAAAUAAAAGUACCGUGAAAAGGAGGAAGAAGAAACUUUCACGCAAGAAGAAAUUGAUGAAAUCUGCGAGGCUAUGAAAGAGCUGCUUUAUGAUGUAAACAUGGUCCAGCCAGGGGAAGGGUCAAGCGCCGCUGAAGUGCUGUAUAUGGGGCCAGAUGCCAAACUUCAAAAUUGNNNNNNNNNNNNNNNNNNNNNNNNNNNNNNNNNNNNNNNNNNNNNNNNNNNNNNNNNNNNNNNNNNNNNNNNNNNNNNNGAAGGGUCAAGCGCCGCUGAAGUGCUGUAUAUGGGGCCAGACGCCAAACUUCAAAAUUGGAAGGCCGCCCAGUAGUCUUGCCUUGCUACCUCUUCCCACAUCACGAGCUAUUUCGGGGUGUAGCUCGUUGUUUGUUUUCCUUUUUAGCACUUAAAAUCUCAAAUUGCAAACCCUGUUUAUCUUUCAAGUUCAAAGAAAUAAAAUCAAUAUUUUUCCUUUCUCCAGUUUUCUCUGAUUUUUGUCUUUCUUUAUCUUUCAUCUUUUCUUUCAGUCCCAAUAAUGCGGCUUUUAAUAAAAUGACAUGCUCGCAGACUUCUUGCCACGACCCAAAUUCGCUGCUUGUCUGUGAAAUAAUGAACCAGGAACCAGAAUACAAUGAAGAAGAGGCUUUUAGGGAAAUCAGUCGAGAAUUGGAACACUUUGAGAACAAACCUAAGCCUAACAUAAAUGAUACUGAAUCGGUCAACCUGGGUGAUCUUGAUGAGAUCAAAGAAACUAAAAUAAGCAUCCACGUAAAUAAAGAGAUAUGGAAUUCAUUGGUUCAACUCAUGUUGGAAUUCAAAGACGUAUUUGCAUGGUCCUGUGAUGAUAUGCCCAGCCUGAGUAUGGAUUUGGUGGUUCAUAAAUUUCCUACAUACCCAGAAUGCCCUCAAGUACCACAAAAGCAAAGGAAAUUCAAGCCUGAUAUCAAUGAUAAAAUCAAAUAGGAAAUUACAAAACAGCUUGAAGCAGGGGUAAUCCGGGUAGUGCGGUACACCACAGGGCUGGCAAAUAUGGUCCCAGUGCUGAAAAAGGACGGGAAAACCCGAGUGUGUGUGUAUUAUAGAGAUCUAAACAAGGUGAGUCCCAAGGAUAGUUUCCCUCUGCCGAACAUCAACAUCCUGGUUGAUAAUUGUGCCAAGAAUGAGAUUCAAUCUUUUGUAGACUGCUACACAGGGUAUCACCAAGUGCAGAUGGACGAAGAAGAUGCUGAAAAAACCGCUUUCACCACACCUUGGGGAACAUAUUGUUUAGAGUUAUGCCUUUUGGAUUGAAAAACGCUGGGGCCUCCCACAUGAGGGCUAUGAACACCAUCUUCCACAACAUGAUGCAUAAAGAAAUAGAGGUGUACGUGGAUGACUUGAUUAUCAAAUCUAAAACUCAGAGCGAGCAUGUAAAGGAUUUGAGGAAAUUCUUCGAAAGGCUCCGCAAAUAUAAUUUGAAAUUAAAUCCAGCAAAAUGCGCAUUUGGAGUUCCUUCGGGAAAACUUUUGGGGUUCAUCGUCCUUCGUAGAGGCAUUGAAUUAGAUCCAACCAAGAUCAAAUCCAUUCGGGAGCUGACCCCUCCAAGGACCAAAAAGUAUGUGAUGAGUCUAUUGGGGAGAUUAAAAUACAUCAGCCGGUUCAUCGCCCAAUUUACCUCAACAUGUGAGCCUCUAUUUAAACUGCUGAAGAAGGAUGUGGCAAUUAAAUGGACGGUCGAGUGUCAGGAAGCUUUUGACAAAAUCAAACAAUACUUGUCCAAUCCACCAGUGUUAGUUCCGCCAGAACCAGGAAGGCCAUUUUUUCUCUACCUGACGGUCUUGGAAGGCUCUUUCGGUUGUAUUCUCUGGCAGCAUGACACCACGGGAAAUAAAGAGCAGGCCAUCUAUUAUCUAAGCAAAAAGUUCACUGGCUACGAGGCCAAGUACACAUUAUUGGAGAGAACAUGUUGCGCCUUGACAUGGUUAGAUAAAAAACUAAGGCACUAUCUGCAGGCUCAUGCCACAUACCUCAUAACAAGGCUGGAUCCACUAAGGUACAUAUUUCAAAAAUCAAUGCCCACAGGGCGACUGGCCAAAUGGCAGUUCCUGCUUUUUGAGUUCGACAUCGGCUAUGUCACUCAUACGGUGAUGAAAGCUCAGGCGCUGGCGGAUCAUCUCGUAGAAAACCUCGUUGAUGACGAGUAUCAGCCUUUAAACACUUAUUUCCCUGACAAAGAAGUAAACUCAUUUGAAAUAGCAGCUGAGGAUACCCUCGUCUGGAAAAUGUUUUUUGACGGAGUGGCAAACGCAGGACGUAGGAAUCGAAGCAAUCUUAAUCUCACCCACAUGCCAACAUUAUCAAGCUACAGCUAGACUUCGGUUCUUUUGCACCAAUAAUACAGCUGAAUAUGUGGCUUGCAUUAUGGGCAUGAACAUGGCCAUUAACCAAGAUGUCAAAGAGUUGCUAAUCAUGGGGGAUUCUGAUUUAAUCCUCCGACAAACUCAAGGAGAACGGGAGACAAGGGACAUUAAGCUCUUCCCCUAUAGACAGCAUGUCGAAGACCUCAGCAAGCAUUUCUGGUCGAUACGGUUCAGGUACAUUCUCCGUUGCCACAAUGAGCUAGCAGAUGCACUUGCAACUUUGGCCUCCAUGCUGCCAUACCCUGGGAAUGCCUAUGUGGAUCCUCUACAAAUCCAAAUCAAAGAAAGACAUGGAUAUUGUAAUGCAACUAAAGCAGAGCCUAGCGCGCAGCCUUGGUAUUACGACAUCUUGAGGUUCUUAAAGACAUAGGAGUACCCAAAAGAAGACCAUCCGACGGUAUGCGAGCAAUUUCUUCUUAAGUGGUGACACUCUGUACAAAAGGACUCCAGAUCUUAAUUUGUUGAGAUGUGUAGAUGCCGAAAAAGCUGGGAGAAUUAUGCACGUAGUACAUGCGGGCGUAUGUGGGUCCCAUAUGAAUGGCUAUGUAUUGGCGAAGAAGAUACUCCGAGCUGGUUAUUAUUGGAUGACCAUGGAAAAAGACUGCUUCAUCUUUGUGCGGAAAUUUCACCAAUGCCAGGUGCACAGGAAUCUGAUUCAUGCACCACCAAAUGAGUUGCUUCCUAUGACAGCACCCUGGCCAUUUGUUGCCUGGGGAAUGAACGUCAUUGUGCCGAUCGAGCCGAAGGCCUCAAAUGGGCACAGAUUUAUAUUGGUCGCCAUUGAUUAUUUCAUAAAAUGGGUUGAAGCCGUUACCCUCAAGUAUGUUACCAAGAACGUGCUGGUGGAUUUUGUGCAUUCCAACAUCAUUUUUUGCUUUGGGGUCCCGGCUACCAUAAUUACUGACAAUGCAGCUAAUCUAAGCAGUCGGCUGAUGGGGGAGAUAUGUGAAAAAUUCAAAAUAACACAUAGAAAAUCCACUCUCUACUGACCUAAAGCUAAUGGUGCGGUCAAAUCAGCCAACAAGAACAUUAAGAAAAUCUUGAGGAAAAUGAUUCAAAGCUCGAGGCAAUGACACGAAAAUAUGCCUUUCGCAUUAAUAGGAUAUCGUACCGCGGUACGUACAUCUUUAAGAGCCACUACUUACUACGUACAUCUUUAAGAGCCACUACUUACUUGUUGUUAUAUGGAACUGAGGCUGCUAUACCCGUCGAGGUGGAAAUCCCUUCCCUCCGAGUGAUUGUCGAAGCAGAAAUCGAAAGAAGCGAAUGGGUUAAAACCCGAUUGGAGCAUCUGGCAUUAAUUGACGAAAAACGAACGGCCGCAGUGUGCCACGAGCAAUUGUACCAACAAAGAAUGGCCCGCGCCUACAACAAGAAAGUGCGCCCUAGGAAUUUUGAAGUCGGGCAGCUAGUGUUGAGACGGAUACUUCCACACCAUCAAGAGGCCAAAGGAAAAUUCGCUCCAAAUUGGAAAGGCCCAUACAUCAUCAGAAAGAUAUUGCCUAGAGGAGCAUUAUACCUGGACGACAUUGAAGGAGAUGAGCCCGAAGCAGCUGUAAACGCCGACGCACUAAAAAGGUAUCAUGUCUAGAAUCCCCUGCAACAAUCAUCCCAACGGAUCUAUCACCGUCCUUUUGUAACUCAAAAAACAAAUUCAAAAAAAAAAAGAAAACAAAGUUCAAAAUAAAAUAAAAAAGAAGAAAAGAAAAAGAAAAUUCCAAAAAAAAAUAGAGAAAGAAAAUUCAAAAAAAAAAAGAAAAGAAAAGAAGAAUACAAAAAAAAAAUUAGUUUAGGAAACACAUCCUUAACUACGUCUGACUUGAUUCUGAAAGGAUACGUAGGCAGCCUCUCCCUUAGGUUCAGUCACAUCAAAAUAAAAACCCAAUAUACCCAAGAAAAUUAAAACUGGGGCAGAAAUGUAUCGGUUCGUUUCCAUCCAAAUGAUUACAAGGAAGAGAAUACCGUUCAUCGGGGUUCAGCACUGAUCAAAUUUGUGAGAGAAAUAAAAUAAGAGAGUCUUAUUGGUGAAAACCUCCGGGCACCAUAAGGCGAUGCCCCUGGGAAGAGAAUACCAUUCGUCGGAGUUCAGCACCAAUCAAAGUUGUGAAAGAAAUAAAAUGAGAGAGUCUUACUGGUGAAACCCUCCGCGCACCAUAAGGCGACAGUGACCAGAGAAAAAUAAAAAUGAGAGAGUCCAUUUAGCGAAAACUCGCAAAGAGCGCUAUCGGGAAACGAGAGAAGAGAAAUGAGACAGGCCGUUUGGCGAAAACCCGCAAAGGGCGCCGUCGGCCAAAUAGAGGAAAUAUUGCUACCCAGGUCCGAAAAAGUUUCUUUGGUGUUCGGAAAGUGGAAAUCAGAAAGCAGAAAUUGAUUUGGGCCGGAUAUCCAGUCCAAGAAGCAUGUCGUCACCAUUUAAAGCCGGCUCAUAUUCCCAGAUAAGUUCUCUUUUUCCUUCAAAGUGCAAACUUCUUUAAAUUCAUAUUUCACUCAUUUUCACAUUAACUUCCUCACCAUUCCUGAAAGAAAGGUAGCAGUGCCGGCUUCGCGGUUUCCUCCUGGCAAGAAUUAGGGAAAUGACCGACAUCGUCAAGUACGCUUGUCCAAUCCCGAUUGACCAUGACAGUUAAUAUCCCAAAAUGAACAAAUAAAGGAAAGGAAAUUCAAAGUCAAAAGCAUGAAAUUGAAGCAAAAUUGAAGGGUUUUAAGCCAAACAGGGUUACGAUUCUUAUCAAAAGUCUUAAAAGCAAAUGCAAAAGCGGGACAAAACUCAUAAACCAACGCCCGAGAAGUAAAACCCAAUCCGAAAUGAAGACUCCCUGGCCAACUAAGCAAGGAAGGAAAUCCGAGGGUUCAUUUUUUAACACAAAGGAAGCCGAAAUCAAGCGUCACAAGGCCGCAAAAUCAAUCACAGUUCAAACUAACAGUUUGUUUUUGCUGCUGAAUUAAAAUAGAUGCAGGUGCAACUUAGAAAAACAAAAGGAACAUGGAGUCAAAAACAACCAAAGGAUAGGCACAAGAGCCGAGGGUGAUGAUGCGUCAAUGACCAAAGAUAAGUUUCCUUUUCAUUUUUCUAAAAACUCGUAAAUGAGCAUGACAGCACGAGUUCCCAAUCCCUAGUUUCCCCAGUGUAUCUUGUGGACUUCCUAGGCAUUACCUAAGGAUCGCAUUCCACCCCCUCCAGCAUAAACUAAGGAAGUUUCCCUCCAAAUCCUCAGCAUAACCUGAGGAUCUUCUCUCUACACUUCCUAUUCCCAAGUGUAGUCUAGGAAUUAAUACUUCCCUACCCUUAGCAUAACCUAAGAGUUAUUCCUUUCCUCCUCUAUCCCCAGCACAGUCAAAAUGACCCCCAAGGUCCUCCACUGCCCUGCAAAUCUCCCGGCAUAAACCGUGGAUGUUCCCUUCCAUCCCCAGCCGGGACUCUUCAUUCAUCUCGGCAUAACUCGUGGAUUUCCCCUAACAUAACUCAGGACCUCAGUUUCAUCCCGACAUAUCCCGUGGAUUCCCCUAACAUAACUCAGGAUCUCUCUUCAUCCCGGCAUAACUCGUAGAUUCCCCUGACAUAACUCAGGAUCUCCUUUCAUCCCGGCAUAACCCGCGGAUCCCCCUAGCAUAACCUAGAAUUUUUCAUUCAUCCCAGCAUAACCUGUGGAUUUCCCUUGCAUAACCUAGGAUUUUUCAUUCAUCUCGGCAUAACCCGUGGAUUCCCCUGACAUAACUCAGGAUCUCCUUUCAUCCCGGCAUAACCCGCGGAUUCCCCUAGCAUAAACUAGGAUUUUUCAUUUCAUCCCGGCAUAACCCGUGGAUUCCCCUAGCAUAACCUAGGAUUUUUGAUUCACGCCGGCAUAACCCGUAGAUCCCAUUGACAUAACUCAGGAUUUCCUUUCAUCCCCAGCAGGGACCCCUCAUUUUCAUCCCGGCAUAACCUGCGGAUCUUUUCUUUCCUUGCCCCACAGAGACUUUUCCAUUCUUAUCCCGGCAUAACCCGAGGACUCUCAUCUUAUUCCCCAGCAGGAACCAUUUCUCCUCUCCAGCAUAACCUGGUGAUCUUUCCAAGUGAUACACAAUUUCGUUCCUUUUGUUCUAAGAAUAGAGCAGCAUAGAUAUGUGCUAUAAAGGACUCACAAAAUUUUCCAGUGAAAACUGGGGCAGAAAAUUUUGUUCGUUUGUUUGAUUUGCUGUCUAAGCAGGUAUCACGUUAAGGCACAAGAUCUGGCAUGAUUGAAAGCAUGAGUGUCAAUUCAGAACAGAACAAAAGAAAAGAGACAAAAGGUGAACUCAAAGUAAUAAGGCGGAUAAAGACGCGGACUGCUCAAAAUUAAUGGAAGCCACAAGCUUAGCAUAUCCUAUUUUGUUUCAAGGUCAAAGAUUGAGUUAGCAGCUGCAAUUAACGAGCAUCAAGAUUCGGAUCGGAGCCUGCCACAAAAGAUAGUCGAGACUCAAGGUCAAGCUUCGAGAGAAUCAUAGAUAGGAAUCUUGUAACUUGUUGUUGAUAGGUUUAGCUAGCUUAGUUUUUAAUUUUCUUUCGGUGUAAUAAGGAGCUUAGUGAGCAGAAACAGCAACAACAACAACCAAUCACAGUCUCUCGGUAGUCCUAGCUACAAAAACUUCCAGAACUACACUGACCUGAUUCCUCUAUUGCUGAGGAUAUGUAGGCAACCUUUGAAGCAAGGUUCGGUCAGAAAAUUUUCAAAAUGCUUCACAUGGAGUAUUCAAUCGGACGAAAAUCACUCAUAUUUGCUCACUUGUCUUUGCACGUAAACCCUUCGUGUUCCCGCGCAAAGAGGGGAAGCUGUGAGCAUAUGAUUUUUGACUGGUCGAAACAAACUCCUACAGGACUUUUAAAGUUUAGGAUUUUUUCUUUUAAAUUAUUUGAAUUUUGAUUUUUUGAUUUAAUUGUAUAUGCAUGUUCAUUACUGUGUGCAUAGGAUUAAUUAGGAUUUAAUUGUUCAAUAAACUUGUUUUAUAAAUUAAAAUACAAAAAAUAUAUAUGUGCCAACACUUGAAAUUAUGUUUGUUCAAUUUUGAUUUGUUUUAAUUUUAUUUUUGAUUUGUGGGUUUUAAAUAAAUUUAGUAAUUAAUUUUAAUUAAAAUAAAAUUCAAAAAAAUAUAAUACAAUACAUAUAUAUAGUCAGCCACUCAGGCUGGCCACAAUUGGACCAAACCUGAGUGGCCCAAUUCAUUUCCUCCUCCAAAUUACUAUACAAUCCAGCCCAAAAGAUAGCCUCAACCUAGUCCAUACAUCCACUAAACCAAACGACACUGUUCACCCCACAUCAUCACAGCCGUUGAUCUCGCCCCAACCCAAUGGAUCCUAAACCCCCACCCUAAAUCAUACAUAUAUGUCCAAACCCCUUCAAUACAUACACGACCAAAGCUCACCCUCCUCGUAUCUCCUUCUCUGAUUAUAACAAACACACGUCGACCACCCCAUCGCCACCGUUGACCACCGACUGACCACGCCAAAAAUCGCCUCACGGCGGCGGCCGACAAUCAAAUGUCCCCAAAAUUAAACCCCUUAAUUAGCACGACCUCCUCUACCCCUUCACAUAGCCAGUUACCCUCGAAUACCACCCCUCUGUCUCGAAUAUCCCUUCAAAGGUUGCCGGAAACCCUACCUCCGGCAACCCCUAUCCCAAACCUUCCAUAUUCACACCACUAAGUCACCUUACCCUUCUCGUUUUAACCAUGCAUACCACCACUCUCAAAUCGCCCCGAAACUCCUCGAAUCUUAAUCCGAAUAUUAACCCCAAAUACCAAACUUGCUAGAAACGGUAACCCUCAUAUACAGUCCCUGACCCCCUUUGACCCCAACCAUGCCACCAUUGAGUCCCAGAUAACCCCAGCCGCUGAAGAAUUUCAAGUCUGAGACCUCACUGAGGUCGCAAGACUUCAAGAACCCUCCUUUGAGCUUUGAAGUUGAUUAAACACCAUCCUGGGAGUUUCAGAACCCCUGUAGAAGAACAAAGGUCCAAACACCUUUUGAUUGUUUGUCUGGUGAUCCACAAGUUCUUCAAGUGUUCAUAUGCUUUGUUUGGAAGUCUUUUAUCUUUUGAAUAAUUUCCUGCUAAUAUCAGCAUUUGAUUUUGAAAGCUAGUUAAUUCUACUGUAAUGUGAUUUUUAGGCUUAUUUGACAUAUACCGUUUGAUUCUAGGAUUUGUUAUUUGCCCCUAAGUAUUUGAUUGUCAUGAUGACUUUAGUUCUUCAGAAUUGAUGUUGGUUUUAAGUUGAUUUGGGGGUUGGGAUCCUCAAAUGUUCAUUUUUAGCCUUCACUUGCCUCCUAAGGUGAUCCCUGAAUUAAAUUAUCGUAUGAGUUUCUGAAGCCUUUGAUUAAGCUAUUUCUGAAAAUAAGGUGUUGAUAAAUGUAUUGAUUCUUCUAGUCCUUUGUUUUGAUAGUCUGUAUAAUGUUUGUUGAAGUCUGCAUAUGCUGAACCUUGUUAAUUCAUGGGCUAAAUCUAAUCUUUAUGAGCCUGUUGAUCUAAAUGUGACCUGAAUUCGACUAACCAAGGUUAAUUCAACCGAACUAGGGUUAAAAGAACUGACCAAGGUAAAGUUCAGGGGUAGAGUAAUUUAGGAAAGCUAGUGAGUGUACAAAAGGUAUUUUAACUAAUAAAAAUCUGAUAAGAAUCCUUUAGAAAUUUCUAGUAGGGACUAAUACAUAAUUCCAGCCCUUUAGCUUGAGGCACAAGUUAGGAAUUGGAGGAUUACUUAGGCAAAAUUACAACUUGAGUUAGGGACUAAAAAAGAAACAAGGAAAAAUCUGAUGCCCUAACAAUUCUACUAUAAAAUGAAUCAUUUGGGGCAUUAGAGAGGGGAGAAACCUUUUUCUUUAAUAUUAGAAUUGGAAAUACUGAUCCGGAACUCCUAUCUUCAAUACUAGAGCUAAAAUACUCCUUUGGGGCAUUAGAUAGGGACCCGGAACUCUUCUCUUUAAUACUAGAGCUAAAAUACUCAUUUCAUAUCUAAAAUACUAUCAGUAGUUGAAUUUGAUACUGUUUGAGCUUAAUUCUCUCACAAUUCUGUUAAAACUCUGGGCAUAUUUUGCAUUGGUUGUUGAUUUGCUUAAUUGGUCUCUUGUCUUCACUCGUAGGCUCCUGUUACACUUAAAUUACAGGUACGUUCCCCUGUUCAUCUGAUACAUAGAAGUUCAAGCAUGAAAAUUCAUAAAUAUGCAGAUUUGGAGUUCCAUUGUAUAAUUCUAAACCCUUUCCCAUUUUCCCCUAUUUAGAUUGGAUAUAGGUGUAUGAUAGGAUAAUAAUCAUGUUAGAGUUCAAUUUUAGACUGAUCCACAUUUGUACUAAAUGGGCAUUUGGGACUGUUUUAAUAUGUAAUAAUGUGAACGUUUGAUUGAAUUUUCCCUUUCCAUGUGUAUAAUUAGUAGCUAAUUGCAAUCUUAGUCUGGUUGGUUCACACGAGUAACUGAUUGUGUAAUCAACUAGGUAAUGCUUCUCACUCAAACGUAUAUGUCUUGUUGUGUUUAAAAUGAGGAUUCUGAAAAUGAUAGCUUAGUAAUCGCUUAAAACCCCAAUAUCAUGUAUUUUGUUGGCUAAUUUAAGUAUCAGCGUAUUAGCACUGUUUUCCUGAUCUCUAGGCUGUAAAUAUAAGUCGUUCUCAAAUUUUUGAGUGUUAGGUUCAUAUACUCUGGCUGAUGAGUAUAUGAAUCGUCUGAUUCAAAACUAAUAUAGAAAUUGAUAUAGAAACUUCGUGAAUGUGUAGUGAUUCGAUCUGUAUAUAUAAUUCUGAAUUGGAAUAGCUGCUAUGAACUGGACUCUUUUGUCCAAACCAAUACUGGCUGAUUAGUAAGGCCCAGUAAGCACCAGAACGCUGAAAUCUAUUACGUUUUGCUGGGUUGAGUGGUUAACAGCCCAAACCAGUCAUAAUGGUUAUUAAUUACAGCCUGAGCACUAUGUGCUCUAGGGCUGUCCAAAAUACAAUUUAUUUAUGUGUCAAUUGGUCACGAACGAGGCCAAGACACAUAAAAUUUUCCCAAUCACCUAGUUCAUACAUGAAAUAAUUAGUGGAUUUAAAUACAACUUUAACAAAUUUACCAUAUGUUAGAAUACCUUUAUAAAAAUAAAACAAGCCGUGUUAAUUCAAACAAAUACCAUGCGUAGGCUCCUUAAUUCAUUAGAACACAUAGAAAGAAUAGGAGGUACUGUUUAGCAAAUUUCAUGGCCUCUCUAUAAAUUUCAAAGACGUAGUUGCUAUAGGUGUGCGUUAAUAAAAUACCUUCUUAAAAUUCGGAUGCGCAUUUAUGUGACCGAAAUCCUAUUCUCAAUGGAAUAAAAUAUGUCUGAAAUUGCAGGUGCAUUUAUGUGACACGAUUCGUGAUGUGUUUUAGUGACAUUGCAAAUGUCCCUGAAAGAUGUUAAAAGCGGUUAAUAAUCCAAAAUUGCAAGUUAACAGGUAUACAAAAUCAUGUUUUAGCCACUUAUAUCAAGUUUAUGCGACCGUGCUAGAACCACGGGAUCCGAGGGUGCCUAACACCUUCCCUCGGGUCANNNNNNNNNNNNNNNNNNNNNNNNNNNNNNNNNNNNNNNNNNNNNNNNNNNNNNNNNNNNNNNNNNNNNNNNNNNNNNNNNNNNNNNNNNNNNNNNNNNNNNNNNNNNNNNNNNNNNNNNNNNNNNNNNNNNNNNNNNNNNNNNNNNNNNNNNNNNNNNNNNNNNNNNAAAAUUUCCUCGAUUUGGGAUUUUAAAUACAGAAUUCCUUACUCACGAAUUUCUGGUUCGCAGACUCCAAUUGGGUAGUCAAAAUUUCCUCGAUUUGGGAUUUUAAAUAAACCGGUGACUUAGGACACCAAACGCCAAGCCUAUCCCAAGUGGCGACUCUUGAAAUAAAAAAUUAAUCCCAUUUUGAAUAAUGUCACUUUAAUUGAAAAAACUCCUAUACACGUGUCGCCCUUCGGGGUAACCACGUGUAAGCGGUAAAAAGGAGGUGUGACAGUGUCCUGUGACUCCUAUGAACCUAGAGAUCUGAUACCAACUUAUCAUGACCCUAGUUCGCCCUCCGUGAACAUGUCAUGAUGGCACCUAGUCCCUAUGACUAGGUAAGCCUAAAAAUGCGGAAAAACAACCUUACUUGCGGAAUAAUUAAUUAAAACUGUAUAUAAAUGCCGCUCGGCAUAUACAACUCAAUAAUGCGGAAGUGUAAAAUAUCACCCCAAAACCCGGAAACUCAUGGGAACACAAGCUAACGAAAAGUAAUACAUGGCUCUAAUUCAAGAAUAUCUAAAGCAUAAGUAAGGAAGAAGUCUAAAUACUAUAAAUAGAGUAAAGAAGGAGACUCCUUGGUCUGCGGAUGUUGUAAAAGUACCUCAAAGUCUCCGUGGAUCUCCUAGCCUCAAAGGUAGUGCACCUGAGAUGAAGUACCUGGGUCUACAUAUGAAAAACAUGCACAGAAGAGGCAUGAGUAGACCACAAUCGUACUCAGUAAGUGCGAAGCCUAACCUCAGUUGGGUAGUGACGAGGAAGGUCAGGUCCCUAUUGAGAUAAAAUAUAAUAAUAAGGUAAACAACAAUAUGAAAUAAGCAGAAAUAAUGGAAUACAACUAUGAAGUAAGCCAUGUUACACAAACAACAAUCAACACACCGAGAAUAAGAUAACACAGAGUAAAACAGCUUAAUAUCAGUAUCAAUUACGAGGAUCUCCCAGAAUACCAUCAUGUAGUCCAUUUUCAUGUCAAUAAGCAGUGGGAUCUACUAGGAAUCUAACCCGUAGUCCCAAAGCAAAUGUCAAGAGGGAUCUACCGGGAAUAUAACCCGUAGUCCCAAAGUAAAUGUGCAAGGGGAUCUACCGGGAAUCUAAACCAUAGUCCUAAAGUAAACAAACAAGGGGGGAUACUGGAACCCCACAUCCGUAUUCCCAAUGUAAAUGCGUAACCACAACCAGAAGAUAUUCAUAAGGAAAGUACAAAAAGGCAAACAACAGGUAGUACUAGCAUAACAUGCUUCAUGUAAUACAGUCAAGGCAACUUAAGAAAGUAGGCAAGUUAAAUCAACUCGACGUGCUUUUCUAAUCUCACACAGGUUAUAAUUGCAAGUAAAAAUAAAGCAAAUACGAAAGAAAACUCAAUUUCAAUAUCUUAAGUAAAAAUCGGAUUUUCAACAAUUAGCUCAAGUACGAGCUCGUCACUUCACGUACAAGGCACUCAAUUACCAAAUAACAUAUCCUAAGGGGAAAGGUCUCCCACAAGGUUAGAUAUGCCACUUACCCCGAACCAGCUCAAUAUCAACUAGAAACCAAACUUGUGCCUCGAGUAUCCAACUCCAAAUGGCCCAAAUUAGUUAAUUUCAAUUGCAUCUCGUAAAUAACAUCUCAAGCAACCGAUUCUUUUAUUCAAUUUAAAGCUAAGACACAAAUUUAGAUAAAAUAAACAAAAUUCCCCUCGAGCCAACAUGGUCAAAACCCGAAGUUCGAACUAAAAUCCGGUUGCCCAUUCCCCUACGAAUCCAAUUAUGUGAUUAGUUUUGUAAUCGGACCUCGAAUUGAGGUCCAACCCCCAAUUUUAGCAAAACCCUAGGUCCUACCCAAUAUACCAAAAUUUCCCCAAUUAAAAUCUUCAAUUGACAUUGAAAUUAUGUUAAAAGGUGUUAAGGAAUGAAAGAAAUAAGUUAGAAAUCACUUGCCAAUCGUUUUGAAGAAGAAGAAUUUCUUAGAAAAUCGCCUCUUAUGUUUUGGGUUUUUGAAAAGUGAGAAAUAACUAAAAAUCUCGUGUAUUUAUACUCUCUGACGCGCCCAGCACGGACCGCGCAAAAAGGACCGCGGCCGUGCUUGUAGAACUGACGCCUGCUGGCUCUCUGAAGUUUGCCAUGCGGACUACGCAAUAAUGACCGCCGCCGCAUAGCACAUACCGCAGAUCGCGCUAAGGCGACCGCGGGCGCGGUGGAGCCUGCAACUUUUCCUGACCUGUAAUAUAUGGUGUUUUUAAGUCUAAGGCCCCCCGGAACCUACUCAAAACUCACCCAAGCCCUCAGGGAUCCAAACCAAACGUACGCACAAACUUGAGUACACCCUAUGAACUCAUCCGCGAUCAGAUCGCCAAAUAAUAUCAUAUACAUCGAAUCAAGCCUCAAAGCUCAUGAUUCCUUCUCAAUUUUUUCAUAUGACAUAAUAUUCCCAUUUCGGUUCCAAACAUGUCAAACGACGUUCAUUCUCAAUCAAACUUUACAGAAAAUUCUUAAAUCAUAUAUAAGACUUGUACCAUGCGCAGAAACCAAAAUACGGGCCCGAUACCCUAGUCUUCUGAUCAAAUUUCGUUUCCAUUUUCCUAUGUUAUUUCCAGAAAACAAUUUCACAUAAAAAUUCUUUUCUCGGACUUGAGACCUCAGAAUUUGAUUUCGGGAAUACGCACAAGCCCCAUAUUUUUUCACAGACCCUCCGGGACCAUCGAAUCACGGGUCCGGAUCCGGUUACAAAAAACAUUGACCGAAGUCAAAUUUAUUCAAUUUAGUAUCAAAAUUUAGCAUUUUUCUCACAGAAUUCAUAUUUAAGUUUUCCGGUUACGCGUCCGGACUGCGCACACAAAUUGAGGAAAUCCGAGAGGAGUUUUUAUGGCCUUGGAAGUACAGAACGGAAAAUAAAUAAGUGAUGAACCCAUUGGGUCAUCAAAAAUACGGUCCAGAUUCAAAAAAAUAGGACUCAGUCGAACAGAAUCGGAGAGGUGGUACUUGCCAUGUUUUGGCACACACUGGGUGAUAUUAUGGAGAAUCAACCAGUAGCGGAAACACACAAAUAUGAUAAGUAAAUAAGAGGAAAAUUCUAUCAUAGCUAGGAUUAGGAGAAGAUUUGGAGAAGGCGGCGAUUAGGGUUUUUGGUGGGGGGAGAGCAUUUGAGGGAGGCUAGACAAAGACAAUGGUCUCUAGGGUUAGGGAUUGGGUUAUAAGAGAAGAGGGGUUAAGAGUUGUGAGUCGUUGAUCAAAAAAUGGUUGUCAUGUAAGGGGGUCUGGAUCAGUUUUGGACCGGUCAUGUUGCGUAGCAUUGGACUUGAGGUUUUGGGCCAGGGAUUUGGGUUUGUCUGAUCCGAAAAUAACUCAAAAUUGGGCCAACUUUCUUAAAUAGAAAUUUUAAAGGAGAUAAUUAAAUAAAAUAACUAAAAUGCUACUUAUGCAAAUUAAUACUUUAAACAUUGAUAGAAGAAUAUAAAAAUUAUAAAAUACUAUUUAGACCCUAAAUGAAAUAUCACUUGCAAUAAGAAAGUAAACUAUAGGCUACUAUUGCAAAUUUAAAUAAAAAGCUUAAAAUGUAAACGUAAUUAUAUGAAAUGAAAUAAAAAAUAUUAUGAAACAUAUAUGAGGAUGAAAAAAUAGUAAUUUGUUUGAUUAAGUCAUUUCAAAAUAAUUUAAAUGGAUAAUUACUAAAUAUUUAUUUUAAUUUAAAUUCAAUAAAAUUAAUUUAAGAGCUCUUAUAAUAUGGAAAAUUAUAGGAAAUGCUUGUAAAGAUUUGUAAACUAAAUAAUGAUGCAUAAAAUGCUAUUUUGAAGGCAUGUGUAUAUUUUAAAAAAAUAUGAGGGAAAAAUUAGGUAUCAAAAGGCAAGCACGACUAAGGUGCAACAAGCAAAUCAACAUCACAGAGUCAUUUCUCUUAUAUAUCGCCACAAGUCCUAUACAGGAUUCCAACAUGUGUGUGAAUAAUCAAGUAGCGUCACAACCCGUCAUAACAUAAGAGAGAAACACAUGACAUAAACUAGGGCAUGAAUAACAUCCAUUCUACCAGGUGAUAUACCUACGAUAAAAGUUGCAUUAAAGUAAGCAAAGUCGAUCGUAUAUUGAUACAUUAUAAUUAGGCCUGAUAAACCCCACAACCAAUUCCGAUCAUCCUCAUAGGUAACUAGCCGUCCAAAGUCUAUAGUAAUUUAUCCAUAAUACAUACCAUCAGUUGUCUAAUUCUUAUCAUAUAUUCACAGUCUCUAACCAAGGAAUUGUCCGCCUAUGUGAACAUCGAGUCCCUAAACCUCAGGAAUACCAAAAUUUCUGUAUCCAUCCCAACUCCUACCCAAAUGGCUGAUACACAACUCAUACACUAUCAUCUUACAAAAAAUACUCACAUAAAUUUUAUACUCCAUAUAGAAAAACUUGAACCUCAGCAGCAAAAAAACCACGCAAUCAUUGUAAUACUAGUCAAACUUUGUACAGUGAAAUCGAAGGAUCCAAUUUCCUUGUCAUUAUGGUUCCCCACGAACAUACUUCUCAAAGUUCGAGAUCGAGGUCGAGGCUCACCUUCGAGGUCUAUCGGGGCUCGACCUCGGGGCAGUGCAGACCAACGACUACAUUGGAAAAAUGAGGAGUUCCCAAGGUACACGGCUAGGACUGAUAGAGCCUGCCGGUCUACUCUAAACCCGAAUCAGUGUGUCAUAUCUAGCUACUUCAUCUCUAUAUCUUUGUCAUUAAUGUAUUUUGUAAUUCCGCUCCUAUAUAAAGGGGAUCCUUGUCACUUUGUAAAGGCAUGUUGCUUUUGUUUCUCUACACGAAAUAUACAAGAACUUUCUCUUUGCUAUCUAACAUACUCCCUUGAUAUUAUUGCUUUUAUUUACUAUCUUUCCAUUUAUUCAUCAUUUAUUGCUUAUCAUUGUCCAUAAAGAGCCUUCAUUGAUUUUAUUAUAAGUGUUAUUCGUACUUCAAUCACCUCAAUAGCUCUAAGUUGAGCCUAAGAAUCGACCUCAAGGCCCCCAAAUCAACAAGCUCGACAACCUAUCGGUUUGAUUAUCACCUUAUCCCUAACUUUUAUUUCGUUUCCAGGUCUCAUACACAUUACACCAACUGCUCAACAACUAUCAUAAAAAUAGAUCAUGUAUUCUUAGAGUCUCAUCAUCAAAUUUAAUUGUUAUUAUCAUUUUCAUGGUAAACAGUUUGGCACCCAUCGUGGGGCUAAAAAUAAUAGUGAUUAUUUUCUUGCUGGUUUCAUCACAACACAAGUUGUCUUUCACACCCGUCUUGUCUAAGAUUCUUCAAAUUUCAGGUUGGAAUGACUAACUCAGUAAAUAAGGUAAAAACGGCUACCCCGAGAACCACAGAGAGAAGGGUGUGGUUGUUCCAGGUGUCGGUACCACCACAAAAACCUGUGAAUGGACUAGAGCCUACCUCCAAGGGUACGACCUCACACGACACCCAAUGCAUAAUCGUUCAUAUGAUUAUCAGAGUGACCGACAUUCCCCGAGGACCCAUGGUAAAACAGACAAAAAUAUCCAUCGCAGAGAAAAGGCCAACCAGAAACCGUGUGGUCAAAGACACCCUCACAUUUAGCAAAGUGGAUCUUGAGACCUUGAAUGAAUCACACAAUGAUGCUCUGGUAAUCUCAUUUCUUUUAGGCAACAUUUGAGUUAAAUGUGAGCUAGUGGACUAGGCAGCUCGGCCAACAUAAUAAUGUCAGAGGUAGUAGCACAACUCGGACUACUCGAUCGGAUCAUACCCAGCUCCCCGGUCCUCCACAAUUUUAACAUGGCCGAAAAAGUAACAAAAAGGGAAAUCACCCUCCCGGUCGACAGCCCGGCACGGCUCGAAACACCGAGUUCCAUGUCAUCAGUGGUGACAUAAGGUAUAAUGCAUUACUUGGCAGGCCGUGGAUGCACAACAUGAGGGUAGUAGUGACAUUUCUGCACAAGAUAAUAAAAUUUCCGACAAAGGAUGGCACGACAAUAUAUGGAUAACACCAUGUGGCAAAAGAAAUGUUCGCCGUUUACCAGGAGGCGCCGACCCCCACAUAUCGGAAGUCGGAUGAGUCUAAGCGCAUAUGGACCUUCGAGGAGAACGAAGAAGAUUUCUUCGCUCAACGAACUUUCGUUGCCCCCAAAGAGUUGGACGUAACAAAAUCCACAACCGAAGAUCUGGAGCUAGCCGGUUUGAUCAAACACCUCCCGGAUCGUAAGGUAUACCUGGGAACAGGAUUAACCCCCAAAUGCAGGAAAGAAUUCGCUCAAUUUCUUAUUAACAAUAUGGAAAAUUUUGCUUGGUCCCACCUAGAUAUGAUAGGAAUUCCGCCGGAAAUAACCUACCACAGACUAAGUGUCAACCCAAGGUUCAAAACGGUGAAGCAGAACAGAAGGCCAUGUACGAGGUAAAAUACGCAUUCAUUAAGGAAGAGGUAAUUAAACUUCUUAAAAUAAGGUCCAUUAGAGAGGUAAAAUACCUCGAGUGGCUGGUCAACGUUAUAGUGGUACCUAAAAAGGGACAUAAGCUAAGAAUGUGCGUAGAUUAUAAAGACUAAAAUAAGGCAUGCCCCAAGGAUUUGUUCCCAUUGCCUAACAUUGAUCGUCUGAUCGAUGCUAUGAUCGGCCACAAGACCCUUACCUUCCUCGAUGUCUACUCAAGGUAUUAUCAAAUUCAAGACCCCGAGGAUAGGAAGAAAACUUCAUUCAUCACAAAAUAUGGUACAUAUUGUAACAACGUAAUGCCCUUCGAACUUAAAAAUACAGGGGCUACGUACCGGCGUCUAGUUAAUAAAAUGUUCAAGCAUCAAAUAGGAAAAUCCAUGGAAUUUAUAUUGAUGACAUUCUAGUUAAGUCCAUGCACGCACUGGACCAUUUAACUCAUUUGUAGGAAACAUUCGACAUUCUCAGAAGUUACAACAUGAAGCUCAACCCCGAGAAUGUACCUUCGGAGUGGGUUCGGGCAAAUUCCUAGGCUUCAUUAUAUCAAACAGGGGUAUUGAGAUUAACCCCGACAAAAUCAAGGCCAUUGAAGAAAUCACGAUGGUAAAUAACGUUAAGGUCAUGCAACGGCUGACAGGGAGAAUAGCGGCCCUGGCAGAUUCAUAUCAAGGUCAUCCGACAAGAUCCAUCAUUUCUUCUUUUUACUAUAAAGGAAAAACAGCUUCGAAUGGACUCCAGAAUGCCAACGUGCCUUAGAGGAGCUGAAAUGAUAUCUGACUAGCCCACCUCUGCUCCAUACGCCAAAGGAGGAUGAAACAUUGUAUCUAUAAUUGGCCAUAUCCAAAAUAGUAAUAAGCAGCAUGCUGGUCCAAGACGAAAGGUACAUAAUUUCUUGUUUAUUACGUAAGCCGGACCCUAGGAGACGCCGAGACUAGGUACCCGCACCUAGAAAUAUUGGUUCUCGCCUUAAUUACCGCCGCAUGAAAAUUAAAUCCCUAUUUUUAGUGCUACUGUUUUUAUGUUCUAACGACGUAUCCUCUCUAAAGCAUAUUGCACAAACCCGAACUAUCGAGUCAGUUGGCCACAUGGGCCAUUGAACUCGGAGGGUACGAUAUCGAAUAUCAACCUCCAACAACCAUAAAGUCCCAAAUUCUAGCAAACUUCGUGGCUGAUUUUUUGCCCUCCCUCAUGUCUGAGGUAGAAAUUGAGAGUUUACUAAAAUCAAGCACAUCUUUCAGGGCAUUGACCCUAUUCACUGACUGGGCCACAAACGUGAGAGGAUCCGGGCUCGGUACAGUCCUGAAGCUGCCUACCGGCAGCGUAAUCAAACAAUCUAUAAAAAUUUCAAAAUUUACUAACAAUGAAGCCAAAUAUGAGGCUAUGAUUACAGGUUUAGAACUAGCCAAAAGAUAGGGAGCCAAGAACAUCGAAGCAAAAUGCUAUUCACUCGCGGUAGUAAGCCAGGUGAAUGGGAGCUAUGAAGCUGAGGAAGAUAGGAUGUAGAGAUAUUUGGAUAAAAUCCAAGUCGCAUUGCAUCGUUUCAAAGAGUGAACCUUAGUCUAGGUACCUUGAGAGCAGAAUAGCGAGGAUGAUGCCCUCGCGAACCUGGGAUCAUCCGUUAAUGAGGAUGACCUACUCCUUGGGGCUGUUAUUCAGCUAUCUAAAUAAGUGGUUGAGGAAGAACAUGCUGAUAUUAAUUCCACCAGCAUAACAUGGGACUAGAGAAAUAAAUAUAUUGAUUAUUUAAAAGAUGAAAAGUUUCCCGCGGACCAAAAGAAUCAAGGGCCCUGCGAACCAAAGCAGCCUGAUUCUCACUCGAUAAAAUAAGAGUUUGUACAGACAAACUUUCGAUGGUCAUCUGGCAAUAUGGCUUGGACCAUGGGAUACAGAUUAUGUACUCCAAGAUAUUCAUGAGGGUACUUGCGGAAACCAUUCCAGCACCGAUUCCUUAGUCCAAAAGGUAAUGAGUGCAGGUUAUUAUUGGGAGUAAAUGGAAAACGACACCAGGGAAUUCAUCCGAAAAUGCGAUAAAUGCCAGAGAUUUGCCCCUAUGAUUCACCAACCCGGCGAACAACAACUUUAGGUCUUGUCGCCAUGGCCAUUCAUGAAAUGGAGAAUGGAUAUGUCGGGCCCCUGUCGACGGCACAAGGUAAAGACAAAUUUAUUUUAUUUAUGACUGACUAUUUCUCCAAGUGGGUGGAAGUGCAUGCCUUCAAGGAAAUAAGAGAAAAAGAAGUCAUUAACUUCAUCUAGGACCACAUUAUGUGCCGAUUUGAGAUUCCCUCCGAAAUAAGAUGUGAUAAUGGGAGGCAGUGCAUCAGAAGCAAGGUAACACAAUUCCUUGAAGAUAACAGAUCAAGAGAAUCGUGUCAACGCCUUACGACCCGUGUGCAAACGGCCAGGAUGAGUCCACGAAUAAAACUAUCAUUCAAAACUUAAAUAAGAAGCUGGAAAGCUCCAAAAGAGAGUGGAGAGAAACAUUUCCCAAAGUGCUAUGGGCAUACCAGAUAAUUUCGAAAUCAAGAACAAGGGAAACACCUUUCUCUCUAGUCUACGACACUGAGGCUUUUAUACCAGUGGAGGUUGGGGAGCCGAGUGCUAGAUUCUAACACACCACUAAGAGCUCGAACAACGAGGCCAUGACAACGACCCUCAAACUGCUAGAUGAAAAUCGAGAAGCCUCGUUUGGUUCGGAUAGCAACCCAAAAGCAAAAGAUCGAGAGGUAUUAUAACCGGAGAAUGAACCUCCGAUAUUUCCAAGUUCGGGACUUGGUCCUAAGGAAAGUCACUCCUAACACCCAAAAUCCUAGUAAAGGAAGCUAAGAGAAAACUGGAAGGAUCGUAGUGCGUCCUCGGAGAAGUCGGCAAAGGGUCUUACAAGCUCAGUACCAUGGAAGGCGAACAACUUUCAAGCAACUAGAACAUGUCAAUGCGAAAACAAUAUUAUUGUUAGGGAAUCGAAUUGAAAACUCCGAAAACUCCCUUCAACAGGCAUUGCACUCUUUUCCUUUGACCGGACUUUGUCCCUAGAAUGGUUUUACCGGCGAGGUUUUUAAUGAGGAAACGACCAUAUGCUACUAAGUAGAAUCAACAAGUAUUGAAGAUUUCUUUUGUAGUCCACCUCGAAUACUGGGGGGCAUCUCCCCCCCCCCCCCCCCNNNNNNNNNNNNNNNNNNNNNNNNNNNNNNNNNNNNNNNNNNNNNNNNNNNNNNNNNNNNNNNNNNNNNNNNNNNNNNNNNNNNNNNNNNNNNNNNNNNNNNNNNNNNNNNNNNNNNNNNNNNNNNNNNNNNNNNNNNNNNNNNNNNNNNNNNNNNNNNNNNNNNNNNNNNNNNNNNNNNNNNNNNNNNNNNNNNNNNNNNNNNNNNNNNNNNNNNNNNNNNNNNNNNNNNNNNNNNNNNNNNNNNNNNNNNNNNNNNNNNNNNNNNNNNNNNNNNNNNNNNNNNNNNNNNNNNNNNNNNNNNNNNNNNNNNNNNNNNNNNNNNNNNNNNNNNNNNNNNNNNNNNNNNNNNNNNNNNNNNNNNNNNNNNNNNNNNNNNNNNNNNNNNNNNNNNNNNNNNNNNNNNNNNNNNNNNNNNNNNNNNNNNNNNNNNNNNNNNNNNNNNNNNNNNNNCCCCGAAAGGUCACCUGCUCGAGAAAGCCGAGAUAUCUUAAAUAAGACCUCAAUAGGAAAGAAUGUAUUGGGCCAAACGGACGCAUGAAUUGCGCCAGUAUAGAGAAAUUGAGCCCUUAGUAGAAAAACAUGUACACUUGUACCAAGUAAUCUGAGAAUAUUUUUUCAUCAAAGCAUUUCGCGUUUUAAAGGAAACUUAACAUUCUAGCAACACGGACUCCUUUGUCAAAAAGGUCCCAGACACUCGAACACUGGCCCCAACUGUUCAACACCUGAAAAACCCCCAGGUCGGAACUCCAAACUUAUAAGACCUUAACAAGGCAACAUCAAAGUCGUAAAAUAUCUCCAAAACUGAAGGUUUCUCGGACACUCGGAAAUUAGCGCCGAUAUUACAAAAAUUGCAUGACCUCAGGGUUGGAAUCUCAAAUAUCGUAAGCCCUCAAGGAGGAAAUAUCAAGUUUACGAGUAACGACUCAAAGCUAGAAUACCCUUGAUGACUUGGGGAAUGUCACCAGUCUCCAUUCAUUAAAAAAAUCGAGGCCAUAAGACCCCGAGCGGACAGACUCGGAUCAUAAGACCUACAUAAGGUAGCAUCAGCAAAUCUGUAGGACCUAAUGCAAGGCAUGAAUCAUACUUGUACCAAGUAUCAGCAAAUCUAUAAGACCUCAAGAAAGGCAUGAAUCAUACUUGUAUCAACUAUCAGCUAAUCUAUAUGACCUCAAGCAAGGCAUGAAUCAUACUUGUACCAAGUAUAAGCAAAUUUGUAAAACCUCAAGCAAGGCAAGAACUAUACAUGUACCAAGUAUUUAAACACUGUAAGACCUCAAAGGCAUGAAAAUUUUUUAAGAACUUACUACAGGCGUAAACUCAACCCUGACGUUAAGGCUAUAUAUCGAACUUGUAAGACCUCUAAAAGGCAUUACCUCGAUAUAGAUGCCUAAACUACUUCACUCGCGAUCAAAAUGGCUCUGGCCAAGCACAAAUGACUAUGGUCAUAAGGUUGUACCAGCCAAACUAACGCGACUCGGGGAUGCCCGAACGUCGCUAUAAAAUCACAGGCCUUCAAUUAGUUCAUCUACUUUGAAAAGAACCGGUUAAAUAGGAUAUCCUCAGCAUAGGCAAAAGAGCUUUGACCUUGCCAGCUUCAAAUCAUAAGCUUCGAGUUACUCGGCCUCCGAGCCAAACCUCUAGAGGUGCUCGAUCAUCGCCACAAGACGACUCGUAAUCGAGGUUCUUCCAGAACCGUCGAAGAGUUUGACAAAAAUUAUCACCAAAAUUCCUUAACGAGAGAAACAUAAAGCCAAUAAAGGCCUCUUCGACCCAAGGCGUAAGAGCCAUUGUUUCCAACCCGCACAAAUACGAAAACUUAAGGGUCAAAUGAGCUCAAGUCAGAACCCGACAAAAAGACUAAACCCAAAAUAGUUAACUACAUAUGCCUAAGGAAAAAGUGUGAGAGCCACUGUCGCCAGCCUAAUGAGCCUCAAGUCCACACACAGUAAAGUUUGCUUCGACCCAAGGCGUAAGAUCUAUUCUCGCCAGCCCGCACAAAUACGAAAACAUAAGGGUUGAAUGAGCUCGAGUCGAAACCCAACUCGGAGACUGAACCUAAAAUAAUUAAUUACAUAUUCCUAAGGGAAAAUCGUAAGAGCCAUUGUCGCUAGCCUAAUGAGCCUCAGGGCCAAAAACAUAAAAGGUCGAUUCGACCCAAGGCAUAAGAACCAUUACCGCCAGUCCGAUGAGCCACAAGGCUAUAUCACGAAUCUAAGGAUUCCUACCAACUCAGAGGCCAGUAUGCCUAUCGAAAUUUGAGAUAAAAAGGGAUACAGACGAAGUGAAGCCACAAGGUUUUGUUUAUAUACAUAUGCAAAAAAAGUGCAAUAUCCAUUUAGACCAUACUAUGAAAGCACCAUAUACAAAGAAGAAACAUACAGAAUCCUAAUCUGUCACCGAGCCUACGUUCUCGAUGGCUCUACCAAAGGUUGUAUCCCAACAAAUACAGGUCCUCCAGUGGCCCCUUUCGAUGGUAUCUUCUUUUCCCGGGGCUCUGCCCUCAUUUUUAUCACCAUCCAACACACCUCCAAAAGUCUGCCUUCGAGAUCCCAACCGACCACAUUCCACAACUCGACUUGAUUUUGGACAGACCUCUUCAGAAGACUUCUCAGAGCGAGCUCUUGUCACAAUAUCAUCCUCUCCGUGCAAAUAUUUAGGCACCUUAGCUUCAAUUUUGGUCCUGGAUUGUAGCUACCAUCUCAGAAUAGAGACCUCUGUACUUGUCACUAUCCUCAUUCGCGUCAUUAAGCUGACGCCCGACUAAGGUCACCUUCUCCUUCAGGGCAUCCCUCUCGAAAUUUAUCUCCUUAACAUGCCAUUUAAGUUUUGAGACAUCGGAAUCUCUAGCCUGGAGCUCCUCCUCAGCAAGGCACCUUCCUUGUUAAACUAUACGAAUCAGAUCCAAGAUGUUAAAACACUAGGAUCUAGCAAAAAUUCAGAUAAUGGUAAACAAGGACUAGGUAACCGGUUCAGUAAGGUAAGCCUUCUCGCGCUCAUGAAGGGUCACCUCAUCCUGAUACCGGGUGAAAGUCUGACUAUAAAGCGCCUUGGCUUGAAGCCACGAAAAAAGAAAGUUAGAAAGACACAGGCAAGGCAACCAAGUCCAAAGCGACAGAGGGGAUUCAUACAAAUCACCUGCUCAUAGAGCUUGCUCAUCUCACCAAAGACGAGUGAGUCAUCAAGCUCAAGGAAUCCCUCGGGAACAAUUGGAAGCCUCUCAAGCAUAUCUCCUCCUUUAAUAGGUAUCCCCUCAUUAGAAGGUUCCUCGAAUGGAGCAUCAUGUACUCUCUUAGUAAAAAAGGUCUUUCCUUGAGGGGAAUCAAUCACAACCACGACACUAGCAGGAUCAAUCGGGACCAUUCCUUGACUGUUCAGCGCCCCAUAACUAGGCCCCUCUGAACCACCUACUGAGUGUACCCCAGUCUCAGGGGAAUCAUGGCCACCAGCUAGCUUGGGGUCAACACCCGAUACUCUCUCAGUUGCUUCUCCACCAUAAAGCUGGACCACAGUGACAUCAGACGUUGGCUCAGAAGCCACCAUCUCUAUGGCCCAAGGAUCGACCAGGUUUUAUCCCUCCCUCGAAUUCUAUCGAGAAGCUAUUUUCCCCCCUAACUUUCAAUUAGAAGGUUUCGCGUCAUUUCCAAAGUCAGGGCUGCUGAGUCAGCCUUAGUUUCUUCUGCCUUAAUCUUCUUGGAUUCCAAAGGUCCGUUCGAUGAAUCCUUUUGCCUUUUCUUCCCUUUAUUGAGUACCAAAGCACAUUUACCCCUAGGUAAUGCUCCCUUCAUCAAAGGGACUUCCCCAGACAUACAAAAAUGCACUAGGUAAGCACAGGGAACGAGAACGCUGUUAGUGGCGAUAUUAAAUUGAAAAAUGUGACUACAGUAAGGGCACAGGCUCACCAUAUUCCUUAGCUUCCCAUCGAACUUGGGAUAGAUCAUGCCAUACUCGCCCAGCAUACGAGCAAAUCAAAUGCAGACAGCAGACCCAACCCGGGAGGCCGAAAACUGCUCCAGGAUAAAUUGUUGGGGCUACAUUAACAAGAAAAUUUGAGCACCUGGAAGAGCUUAGUCAAAGGAAAGUGAGGGAAUGCUAAAUAACGUGUCUACUUAUGUUCCACAUUCCAUCUCUCAGGUAACGCCUACCUUUCCUCUAGUAUCAGGUCCUUACUCGGACAAAUCGGCUCAUCCAUCCUCGGUAUAGGCAAAGAGGGCCCUCGGGGCCUGACAGUGGAGCUUGAUUAGACCCCCGCAGAAAAGACGGGGGUUGUACAUCCGGAUAAGAGGAUCAAUGGUUAAAGGCAUCUCCUCAAUCAUAUUAACAUAGUACUUAAUCAUAUAGACAACACUCUAGAGUGAAUGAUGAAUUUGGCUAAGGGUCACUUGAUACUGUUAGCAGAAGUCGGGGAUCACGGGAUUGAUCGGGGGAAAAGAUGGCCCCACCAACCCUAAGGUAAACAGAUAAGUAUACACAUUGAGAAAACCAGCUUUGUAUGUCGUAAUAUCUUCCUCCCAAGCAGGGACCUCCACGAGCACAACGACCCUUAGCAACAAUUAUCUCUCACUCUUUCGACCUCUAUUAGCAAGCUAAUAUACUAAGUCACGGCCUCACAACAUUCUGGCUUCGAGGAAGGCCUCCCAACCUUGAAAUCAGAAGUCAUCGCAAAAACUCCUUGGACACACUCCUCAGCAUGAUGAGGUACUUACGCUUCACCUUGAGAUAAAAGCGAAGAGGAUGAGGCCAUAUUCUCCUAAGAAGCAGAGGCGGAAGUUGUUGCCAUCCCUAGAAAAUUCCAGGAGAAGAAGAAUAGUUGCAUUCCUAAGAAAAAAAAAAGCAAAGGAAGAGUGAACCUUUUACUGGGGUUUGGAUAUACAAUGAGUUAUAGAAAGCAAGAAGGUAAAUAUUUAUAGAGGCCCAGCGUGUGCAUUGGAAGGGGCAAAUGACAGCUAACUGCCAUAGUCAAUGUGAAGAUCUUCACGAGCUACGUGUGCAUCGUCUUUUGGUAUCAUAUCUUGGCACCUUAAGAAACGCGAAGACUAUCUAUGUACGGUAAAAUUGGAGUGUCUAAUUUCCCCGUCAUUAUGAUGCCCCGCGUAUAUACUUCUUGAGGUUUGGGACCAAGGUCGAGUCUCACCUUCGAGGGUUGUCACGACUCGACCUCGGGGCAGUGUAGCCCAAUGGCUAUAUUGAAAAAUGGGACGUUCCCAAGGUACACGGCUAGGACUGAUAGAGCCUGCUGGUCUACUCUAAACCCGAAUCAGGAUGCCAUAUUUAGUUGUCCCAUCUCCAUAUCUUUGUCAUUAAUGUAUUUAUACUAUAUUAGGAUUUCUCUCCUAUAUAAAGGGAAUCCUUUUCACUUUGUAAAGGUCUGUUGCUUCAUUUACUAUAUACAAAAUAUACAACAGUAUUGUCUUUUCUCUCUAACAUACUCCCUUGAUAUUAUUGCUUUUAUUUACUAUCUUUUCAUUUGUUCAUCAUUUAUUUCUUAUCAUUGGCCAUAAAGAGCCUUCGUUAACUUUAUUAUAACUAUUAGCAAUUCUUCGAUCACCCUCGAUAGCUUACAGAUGAUCCCCGGAAUCGACCUCGAGGCCCCCGAAUCGACAAGCUCGAGGCCUCGAUUGACAGCCUAUCAGUUUGAUUAUCACCUUAUCCCUAACUCUUAUUUCGUUUCUAAGUCUCAAAACAUACCACCAACUGCUUAACAACUAGCGUAAAAAUAGAUCACGUAUUUUUAGAGUCCCAUCAUUAAAUUAAUUGUUAUUAUCAUUUUUACGGUAAACACAAGCAUCCCCAAGUUAAAUCACAGUCCGUCUCCUAAAAUGCAUAUCUUUCUCAAACGAUACCAAAUAGUGCUAGCAUUGUCUUAAAUGUUCGAAAGUCGUCCAUGCCUUCUAGAACUCAUGACCCUUCGAAACUAGAUAACAACCUUGUACUUGCAACUCUCAAUUCCACACGGAGCACUGCAAUUGUCAUCCUAACUUGUGAAAAUACAAAAAUUUCAUAAUCUUGAAUCACAAGUAGGAUAAAAAUCUCAUCAACCGAGAACCUUCUGUCUAACUCAAUCCGAGAGGACAUCACCACACGCAAUAAACCUUCUAUACCCAUAGAAAAUAUCAACCUUAAUCCAUGGUUAGAACAGUCACGAACUAUUCGCAACCCAUUUGCAUAUGACCAAAUCAUCUUAUCAGACUUUCCUCUUGCUCAAUCGAGUCGGGCAUACUGCCUAACCCAAAAGUAACUCAAUCCGAGAUGCUCGCUCUAAAGGGACCUUCUGCGGGUUUGAAGUUGUUUCUUGCAUAUCUCUAGCACUGUCAUGUAGAGUCAAUAUUUACAUAGAAGUACCACAAGUCUAGACAAAAUCCACUACCGAUUUUAAGUCCUAGACAUAAACAAAUCCAAAAAAUCUCAGUAUAACCUUCUCAAUACUCAUCCAUUUCACUCUAAUAUUCUAUGCCCAACCAAUAUGCACCGAACAACCUGUGCUCCACUAGCACUUGAAUAUCCAAAAGAAGCUCCCUAGCAGUUUCUUUUCCUUGCACACUACAUCUCCAAUGAAUAUCAAAUCUUAAUCAUCCCACGAUCUCUAUAUACCACUAAGGUAUAGUACACAUUGCACUCCGCAAAUCCCUUUCUCGAACUAUCCUUCAAGUCAUUCUCUCCAAUUCAUAAUUCAUCCACAAGAGUUCCUUAGUCCAGGAACUAAUAUAACGAAUGAAAAUACAUUCUGAUUGUCGAUAGCGGACUCCCCACUUAGCUCAAAGCCAUAGAAUAUAUCGUCUGUAACCCACAAUACCUUCCUUCAUAGCUGCCCUGAGCCUGUAGUAUUAAUUAGCUAAAUACUUCAUAAACGUAUGUAAUAGUAAUCAUAAAACACUUAAGACUCGGCCAAGUGCAUACUUAGCCAUAUAACAGUCAAGCCAAUUUCCUCAUGUCCUCCGAAACAGUAGUAUAUGCAUCCCAUUGAAUAUAAGUUUCAUACGAAUCAUACAACUUCAAAUCUUCUUGUAGGAGAUAACCAACCUAUUUAGCAUCCAACCGACAUCUCUAUAUCCCCUACUACAAUUACAACCUCUAUGCAAUCAAUCCUCCAAAGUUCGUACUCAUCAACCAAAUACAAAAAUCCUCUUCAUCCUACAAAUGAAGAACUGAAAGAUCUACCAACACAUUCGCAUCUAUCCUAGAAAGCACAUUACGGUGGUAACAAGAAUCCACAUCGCUUUGCAAUCCAUCUAUAGCAUCACAAGCGAUCAGUGCAUACUGAUACUUGGUUCUUAGCAUCACAAACGGACAAAUGGGAACAAAUUAAAGUUAUAGGCUUCAAUAUGAAAUAAGGUCGCACGAUAAAGAAAGAAGGAAAGUUUCUUAGAUACCUUGUAUCCUCUCGCAGAUAGGUAUGGACGUCAUCAUACCGAUCCGCAAGACUCUACUAGAUACUUGCUUAUGACUCGUAGGACUUAUGAACCUAGAGCUUUGAUACCAACUUCUCAUGACCCAAAAUCUACCCAAUCUUGAUGGAACCUAACCCUAAUACUAGGUAAGCUAAACAUAGAAUAAGGUAACUCAAGAAAAUGAACACGCGAAAUUCAACUAGGAAAUACAAACUCAAACAAAGUAAGAUGGCCAGCCUAGUAACCAAGAGCUAGUCUUUCAUAUAUAAUGACAAGGCUUCCACAAAGCGUAAAUACACAACCAAUAUAAAAGUACCCAAUCUGGCUAGUCUCCUAGUAAAACUCAAUAAAACUAAUUUUCCAACUUUUCACAUAAUGCACUGAAAUGGCCUCGGGUUACUCGAUACCCGAAUCAAACAUAAGUACAUGUCUGAAAUUAUAAUACGAAUCUACCAAAAUCAUCAAAAUACCGACCCAAGGUAGUUUACCGAAAACGUUGAUACUGGUCAAAUCUAGUCAUUUUCAAAGUCAAAAAUCAUAUUUUCUUUUAAAAUUUACACAUAACUUUUUUGGUGAUUAAUAUGGAUGUCACGACCAAAAAUUCCACCAUAAGAAUCGUGAUGGCAUCAGUCCCUAAGACUAUGUAAGUCUAUCACAUACGAUCUCAAUCAACAUAUAACAACUUCAAAAUUAACAAAACACUAUUAAUAUAUUAAUAUUGCCAAACAUGAGUACAAUAGAUAACUUCCCAAGAUUUGGUAAUACUGAGUAACAAGUCUUAAUGGAAAACAUAAUAAAUCUCAAGAAUAUAACACUAUUAGAACACAUAAACAACAGAAAUUAUGUAAGAGGGUGACAUCGAGGCCUGUGAAUGGAAUAAUAGGAAUUCCUUGAAGUCUCCAACAAGCUCCAGCACACCGAUGAACGAUCAACUAGAUCCGAAAUACCUGAAUCUACAAAACGAAUGUGCAAAAGCGUAGUAUAAGUACACCAUAAUCGGUACCCAGUAAGUAUCAAGACUAACUUUGGUGGAAUAGUGAUGAGGUUCAAGUCAUGACAUUCACUAGUCAAAUAACCUAUAAAAAUAUCAAAUAAAACUGAUAAUGAAAUGCAUAACAUAAUAAAUAUCAACAACCUCGAAUAGUGUGACAACAACCUAAUGUAGAAUAAUUCGUUUUCUCCAAAAAAAUAUCCAUGGGAACGAGGCAUGAGAUAGCAUAUAAUAAAUCAACCAAUAACUCAUAAAGCACAAGGCGGAAACAUUUAUGAAGCACGUGACUGAUCAAAAUAGCAACCUCGAUUCCAACACACAAGUCAUAUCAAAGGAACACCCCCACAUAUCUCAUAACAUCGCCAAAAAGGCCACCCUUAUGUCAAUGCAUGCAAAUAAUAAAUAGAAUGCCUCCCUUAUGUCCCUGCAUGCACAUAUAUAUCUACCCUUAUCUCACCGCAUGUAGAACACAAUGAAAUGUCUCCCUUAUGUUGCUGCAUGUGCAUCUUGCCACCUUUAUACUAUAAACAACAAUAAUCAACCUGCAUAACAUGACCAAAUUUUACACAAUAUCACAAAAACAACAAUACACAAAGUCAUAUCAAGAUAUAGCCCAUAUCUCAACAACAAGGUGCACAAAAACAUGACAAUAACAUAAGAGUACAGGAAGUAUACAACAAUAAAGCAUAUAUCAUAUUGCAAACAGCCCCCAAUUCAAAGAAUAUUAAUAGCCUAAAGUCUAAUCCGGUGAUACAUCACACAUACGCCCGUGUAUACACUUGUCAUCUCGUGUACACGUCAUUUCAUAUAAUACAAUUAUACAAUUUAGACCAAAUCUUAAGGGUAUUUCUUCAACACAAGGUUAGGCAAGAUAUUUAACUUAAAUUUUCCCAAUCAAUAUAAUAAAAAUGUUUUUCCUUAAAAUUCACCUCCGCUCGGCUCAAAACGGCAUAAUUAUAUCAAACAAAUACAAGAGAACCCAAUUUUAAUUAAUAAAGUUGUAAUCUUUAUUCAAUCCCCAAAAAGUAAACAAAAGUCAACCCAGGGCCUAGCCUAUCAAAACUCGAUUCUUGGGGUAGAUCUCAACUACCCUUAACUCUACGAGUCCAAAUAUGUGAUUGGUUUUCAAACCGAGUACAAAUCGACUCUCAAAUUUCAAAUUUUCAUUUUUAGAAAUGUUUCGUCAAAAACUGCUAAUUUCACUCAUGGAUUCAUUAAUUAAAUGCUAAAUGAAAGAUGAAAUCAAAAAAAAUAAUCAAAUCCGAGUGAAAAAUACUUACCCAAUCCAAGUGGGUGAAAACGACUCAAAUAUUGCCUCAAACCGAGCAUCCAAUGUCAACAUAUGAAAUAAUGAGUAUAAGCCCCGGAACCCAACCUAUUAACCCAACUGCAUAUGUCGUAUUUGCGACCAAAGGUUUGCAAAUGUGACCUCCAAAAUGUGAACAACUGAACGCAAAUGAGAAGAGGGCCAAGCCUAGAGAAAGCCGCAAAUACAAAGUCAGCUUCCAUCACAAAAGCAACUAUAUGAUUGCAAUGCAGCCUCCUCUUCCCAGGCCCCCCUACGCAAUAGCAAUGAUGACUUCGCAAAUGUGAAGAUUGCCAUACACAUCCCACCUUGGCAAUUGCAACCAUGUCCAUCGUAAAAGAAAACUGGUGUUCACAUAUGUGAGACCUGCAGCACCUGCAAAACUGAGCCUUAAUCCAAAACACUCUAAAACACGUCUGGCACUCACUCAAUCCCCAGGGCUUCACACCAAACAUCCACAUAAGUCAAGAAACAUCAUACAAACACUCUCAUGAGCUCAAAACACCAAAAUAACCUCUGAAACUAUGAAUCGAACAUUAAAUUGCAUCAAAUUCAAAAUGAAACUCAAGAACUUGUAAAACCACAACCAAACGUCAAAUUACAAUCAAACCAUCUCAGAAUGACACAAAAAUUUGCACACAAAUUCCAUAUGAAAAAAAAUACCUAUUCCAAGUCCCGAAACCUAAACCCCAACCUGAUAGCCAUAAAGUCAACCCAUGGUUAUACUUACAAAAUUUCUAAACCUUCAAAUUGCCAACUUUCGGCAAAAAGAGCCAAUUCAACCUAGGAACAUCCUAAUACAAUUUCGGGCUUAUGCCUAAGUACAAAAUCAUCAUACGAACCUAUUCGGACCAUCAAAACACCAUCCAUAAAAUUUAAACUUUGCCAAUAUUUAAAACUUAAGCUUCAAACCUAAGAACCAAGUGUCCUAAAUCAACUCAAAACCUUCCCGAUACCAAACCAACCAUCCUCACAAUUCACAUAUCCGCAAAUACACAUAUGGGUAGCUUCAAAAGGGGAAAAAGGCUCAAAUAAAAAAGUGACCGGUCAGUUCGUUAUAUUUCCCCCUCUUAAAUGAAAGUUCGUGUUUGAACGAGUAUAGAGACAUACCUAAAGUGACAAAAAUGUGGGGGAUAUCGGCUCUUAAUAUCAUACUCGGUGUACUAAAUCGCCUCCUUAAACAUUGACCUCUCCAUUGAACCCUCACUGUUGCGUGCUUUUCGACCUCAACUUUCUGACAUGCCUAUCCAAAAUAGCCACUGACUCUUCAAUUUAGGUCAAAUCAUUAUGCAACUACGCCGAGCUAAAAUUUAACACAUAUGACAGAUCCCCAUUGUAUUUUUGGAGCAUGAAAAUAUGAAAUACUAUAUGAACUUUUGAUAAGUUGGGUGGCAAAGCAAGUCUACAAGCCACCUCAACUGCUCGCUCUCUAUAAUCUCAAAAGGACCAAUAUACUGAGGGAUCAAUUUUCCCUACUUCCUAAACCUUAUCAUACCCUUCAUGAGCGAAACUCUAAGUAGAUACCUCUCACCCACGAUGAAGGCCACAUCACUAGCCCUUUUAUUAGCAUAACUAUUCUGCCUAGACUGCACUAGGCGGAGCCGCUCCUGAAUAAAUUUCAUUUUCUCCAAAGUAUCAUGAACCAAAUAAGUGCCCAAGAAUUAAAUGGUGGAGCUGCUCCUAAAUAAAUUUCAUUUUCUCCAAAGCAUCAUAAACCAAAUAAGUGCCGAAGAACCUAGCCUCCUUAGGUUCAAACUAACAACCUGGAGAAUGACUUUGCCUCCCAUAUAAGGCCUCAUAUAGAGCCAUAUGGACACUCCAUUGGUAGAUGUUUUUAUAGUGAACUUUGCUAGCGAUAGGAACUGAUCCUACUGACCCCUGAAAUCGAUGACAAUGAUUCGUAACAUGUCAUAUUAUAUAUACAAAGUAAGCUCUGACUAUCCAUCUAUUUGUGGAUGAAAUACCAUCUUCCCGGUCACUUGCCUCCUUGUGUGGAAAUGCUUUUCAUGAUCUCCAGCUCUUUCCCACCAGCUCGUACUCAGCUAGACCCUUGUGCUCAACUCAUGAUGCACAGAUAUCCAAAAAUGUGAUGUGAAUGGCGUGCCUCGAUUUGGGAUAAUAGACAUAGGCAUACCAUGUAGGCAAACAAUCUCUCUAAGAUAAAUCUAAGCUAGUUGCUAUGAGGAGCAGAUAAUCAUGACUGGAGUGAAGUGUGUAAACUUGGUUAGUCUAUCCACAAUGACCCACACAAUGCCAAAUCUACUCAAGGUCUAUGGUAGCCCAACCAUAAAAUCUAUAGUGAUACGCUCCCACUUCAACUCCAGAAUAUCAAGCGUCUGAAGCAACCUACCCGGCCUAUAGUGCUUAUACUUAACAUGAUGACAGGUGAGACACGGUUCCAUAUACUCAACAAUAUCUCUCUUCAUCCUUCUCCACCAAUAGCGUUGCUUUGAAACAUGGUACAUCAUCGCGGCACCCAGAUGAAUAGAGUACCGUGAACUAUGGGCCUCUUCAAGAAUCAACUCUGACAACCCAUCCAAAUUUGCUACACAAAUCUGGCCCUAAAGAUUCAAUACACCAUCACUACCAAUAGUCACCUCCUUAGCAUCACCCUGCUGCACUAUCCUUAAAGACAAGUAAUUGAUGAUCAUCAUACUGAUGCGCCUUGAUGCACUCAAACAAAGAUGACAGUGAUAUAACACAAGCAUGGACCCUUCUAGGCUCUGAGACAUCCAAUCUCACAAACCUAUUGGCCGAUCCUGAACAUCCAAAGGUAAUAGUCUCUACCCAGUUAAGAUAUAAGCAAUACUCCCCAAGCUCUAAGCAUUCCUAAUCAAAGCGUCAACUACCACAUUAGCCUUCCCAGGAUGAUAAAGAAUGGUGAUAUCAUAGUCAUUUAGUAGCUCUAACCACCUCUGUUGCCUCAAGUUUAAGUCCUUUUGUUUGGAUAGGUGUUGAAUACUCUAAUGAUCCAUUAACACCUCACAAUACACGCCUUAAAGCUAGUACCUCCAAAUCUUGAGCAUGAAAAUGGAUGCUAACUCCGAAUCAUGCACUGGGUAGUUCUUCUCUAGGGCUUUAACUAACGUGAAGCAUAAGCAAUAACUCAACACUCCAAUAUCAACACACAUCCAAUGCCAACUCGUGAAGCAUCACAAUAUAUGAACCCGUUGCUGAAGGCAAAACUAGAACUGGAGCUGUAGGCAGGGCAGUCUUGAGCAUCUGAAAUCUCUCCUCACACUCGUUAGACCACUGGAAUGGGGCACCCUUAUCAAUUAAUCUAGUCAAGGGAGCUGCAAUAGACAAGAAACCCUCCAUAAAGAGGCGAUAAUACUCAGCUAAACGUAGAAAACUCCAUAUCUCUGUAGCGGUAGAAGGAGCGGGCUAACUAAGAACUGUCUCAAUCUUCUUUGGAUCCACAUUAAUCCCCUUAUUUGACACAACGUGACCCAAGAAUUCGAUCGAGUCUGACCAAACCUCGCACUUUGAUAAAGCACAUAGCUUUUUCUCCCUCAAAGUCUGGAGUAUGAUCCUCAUGUGCUACUUAUGUUCCUCUUGACUACAAGAAUACACCAGUAUAUAAUCAAUAAACAGAAUGAAGAAGGAAUACAAAUACGACUGAAACACGAUGUACACCAAGUGUAUGAAAGUUGUUAGGGCAUUGUUCAGCCCAAAAGACAUCACAAAGAACUCAUUGUGCCCAUAACGGGUCCUCAAGAUCGUCUUAGGAAUAUUUGAAGCCGUGAUAUUCAAUUAAUGGUAUCCCGAUCUCAGAUCAAUCUUUGAGAAUAAACUAGCACCCUAAAUUGAUCAAAUAAAUCAUCAAUAUAUGGUAGUGAGUACUUUUUCUUGACGAUAACCUUGUUCACUGCCUCUAGUCAAUACUUUUCCUCAUAGAGUUGUCUUUCUUCUUCACAAAUAGAAUUGGAGCCCCCCAAGGAAAGACAGUCAGUCUGAUAAAACCUUUAUCAAGAAACUCCUAAAUUUUUUCCUUUAACUCUUUCAAAUCUACUGUAGCCAUAUGGUAUGGUGGAACAGAUAUGGGCUGAGUGCUCAGUCAAUACCAAAAUUAAUAUCUCGAUUGGGUUGCAUGACCGGUGAAUUUGCUAGAAAUAUAUCUAAAAGCUCUCUUACUAACAGAACCAACUCAUGGUAGGAGUUUCAUCAAUAAUACUCUCACAAAGGCUAAGUAUGUCAAGCACCCCUCUGAACCAUCUAUUAUGCCUUAGAAAAAGCACCUCCCUUCUAGGAACAUGACCCAAUGAACCCCUCCACUCCAACCAUAACAACCCUUGAAUAGACAAUGUCAAGAUCUUAGUGACAACCAAUCCAUGACCAAAAUCAUAUCAAAGUCCACCAUAUUAAGUAACAGAAGGUCAACCCUAGCAUCAUCGCUCGCAGUAGUAACCAAACAAGAACGAUAGACACAACCCACCAAAAUAGAAUCCUCAACAUGUUUAGACACAUAGGCAAGAGUAUCUAGAAAAUCACGAGACAUAUACAAAUAUAAAGAAAAAUAUGAUGACACAUACAAAUAAGUAGAACCCAGAUCAAAUAAAAUGGAUGCAUCCCUAUCACAAGCUAAAACAAUACCUGUGAUGACAACAUCUGAUGCAACUGCCUCAAUCCUACCAGGGAAAGCAUAACAAUGGGCUUGGCCUCUACCUCUAGGACGCCCUCUACCUCUAUAUCAUCAACUCUAUCUGGUUUUGCAUGUGGAGUAGCAACUUGAGCGAAAACCAUAGCCUGAGUACCCUACAGAAGUCCACCCUUCUGAAGUUUGGGACAAUCCUUGACAACGUGUUUAAUAUCAACACACUCAAAACAACCUAUAUGCAAGUAUGGAUACUGUUACUAAGUAUGCCCUAGAGGAAUGGAAUAACCAUUGUAGGAAACCCAUGCAGAACGUGCACAGAAAGAUGGUUGUCCCAUAUGUGUCCCCGGGGCUCCUUGUCAAGUUGGAGAACGACGAGUAACUAGAAGUGCAAAUUGAUCUGGUCGAUUGACAAAGCCUCUGCCAUAAUGAGAUGUAACCAGAUAGUGGGACCGUUGAAUCCUCCAAAACCAAUAGACCUCUUGGCCUCCCUAUCCCCUCUCUCCUCCUUGCAGACACGCUCCAACCAGCUAGCGGUCUCCAUAACCUGAAGGAAUAGAGUCUUAGUCUCAAAAUCUUGUGCCAUCCCAAAUAUUAGGCUAUAAGCGAGUCCCUCACUAAAUCUACAAACUCUCUCUUGAAUAGUGCAAACCAAAGUAGGUACAUGAUGAGAUAACUCAAGAAACCUCAUAGCAUACUUUGACAUAAUCAUACUCCUCUGGAGCAAUUGGUCGAACUCGGUACACAAACUCAUCCUCACAGGUCUGUAGAAUAAACUCCUUUAAGAAGAUAUCACUGAAUUGAGACCAAGUAAGUGUUAAUAUGCCAGCUGUCCUACUAGCCUCAUAAAUUUUCCACCAUCUAUAUGCCGGACCAUUCAGUUGGAAAGUAGUAAGGUAAGACCCAUUUAACUCCACCAAGCCUAUACCACGCAUAAUACAGUGAUACUAGUCUAAGAAACCCCUUGAAUACUUAGAAUCCCCACCGCUAAAAUGGGGAGGAUGAUUUUUUUAAAACCUCUCUAACCUUUUAUGCUCCUCAACGGACACAAUUGGCCCGACCUCAGGCUAAAUCGCAAUCAUGGUUUGUACCGAUAUAACACUUGUAUUCUGAUCAACAUAAGCUCACUUCUCAAUAUUAUGAGUAGUAGAGGUCUGGACCCCUCCAAGGAUCAACCUCACCUGAGCCAAAGUUCGAAACACACGCAGAAAGUGCGCCAAAGUCUCCUAAAGUCCAGGGGUAGAAACAUGCACCCUUGGGUGCCUGCUCUCCGACUUGAGCUACUGGUGCCUCCUGAUUCAAGGCUUUAGCAUUGUCCCCCACUGCGUCUCGUGCUUUUCCUCAGCCUCAGCCUCUAGCAAUACCGGCCCUAGGAGCAGCAUCAUUAGUAACUGAAGCUCGUGUUCUCACCAUCUACCAGUGAAUAGAAGACAAAGGCUCAAACUCUAAAAUAAAUAAUAUGCAUGAUAAGGAAUGAAAGAAAUGAAAUUUUCCUAACUGAAACGUCUUUGUAUCAAUCCGCAAAACUCUCCUAAUCAUUCUUAGACUCGUAGAACCUAUGAACCUAGAGCUCUAAUACCAACUUGUCACUACCCAAAAUCCCACCAUUAGAGUUACAUUUGGUAGGCCCUAAGACUAGGUAAGCUUAUCAUACACGAUCUUAAUCAACAUAUAACAACAUUAAAAUUAACAAAAUACUGUGAAAUAUAAUAAUAUUUCCAAACAUUAGUAGAAUAAACAACUUCUAAAUACUCGAUAAUAUUGAGUCAUAAGCUCUACAUGGAAUACAUAACAAACCUCACAAGUACAACACCGUUUAGGAUACAUAAACAAUAGAAAAUGAAGUAAGAGAGUGAAUCUGAGGCCUGUGAAUGGAACAACAUGAAUACCUUGAAGUCUCCAACAAGAUCUAGCACAACGCCUAACGAUCAACUUGAUUCAAAGUACCUACAUCUUCACAAAGAAUGUGCAGAAGCAUAGUAUGAGUAUACCAUAGUCGGUACUCGAUAAAUCAAGACUAAACUCACUGGAGUAGUGAAGAGGUUCAAGUCAUGAGACACACUAUUCAAAUAACCUGUGCAACAUAUCAAUGAAACGGGGCAUGAGAUAGCAUAUCAUAAAUCAACCAACAACUUUUAAAGCAGAAGGUGGAAAUGUUUAAGAAUCAAGUGUGCAAUCAAAAUAUCAACCCCGAUUCCAAUAUAUGAGCCAUAUAAAAGGAACAUCUCGUUAUAUCUCAUAACAUCACCAACAAAUCCACCCUUAUGUCUCAGCAUGCACAUAAUCAAUGGAAUCCCUCCCUUAUGUUGCCGCAUGCACAUAUAUAGCCACUCUUAUCUCAUUUUGCAUGCAUAUCAUGAUGAAAUUUCUCCCUUAUGUCAUCGCAUGCACAUACUUCCAUCAUUAUACUCCACACAACAACAAUCAAUCCGCAUAUAUGCCCAAGUGUGCCACAAUAUUACAAAAAUAACAAUAUGCAAAGUCACAUUAAGAUAUAGCUUAUGGCUCAAAAACUAGGUGCACAAGAACAUGAUAAUAUCACAAGAGUGCUUAGAGUAUUCAAUAAUAAAGCAUGUUUCAUAUAGCAAACAACCAUGCUUAAAAGUCAUAUCAAUAGUGUAAGGUCUAAUCUGGUCAUAUAGCACACAUAUCCAUGUGUACAUGCUUGUCACCUCGUAUACACGUCAUUUCACAUAACACAAUUAUAUAAUUUAGACCAAAUACUAAAAGGUAUUUCCCACACAAGGUUAGGCAAUAAACUUACCUCAAAUAGCCCCAAUAAAUACUCUAAAAUUACUUUUCCUUUGUUUUACCUUUAAAAUUCACUCCGCUCGGCUCAAAUUUUGCCAAUGACGACUUCAUAAUAUCAAGCAAUGCAAGAGAAAUAAAUUUCCACUAAUAGAGUUGUAAUAUUUACCCAAUUUCAAAAAUAAUCAACAAAAGUCAACCCUGGUCUUCCUUAGUCAAAAACAUAGUAGAGGGGUAGAUAUCGACUAUCCAUAACCCCGCGAAACAAAAUAUGUAAUUGAUUUUUAAAACCGAGUCCAAAUCAGCUCUCAAAUAUUAUAUUUUUAUUUUUAGAAAAUAUUUGGAAAACCCCUCAAAUUUCACUCAUGGAUUCAAGUUUAAAUGCUAUAUCAAACAUGAAAUUACUGAAAAAUAAUCAAAUAAGUAAAAAACACUUACCCAAUCCAGAUGGAUGAAAAAUGCCAAAAACAUUGCUCCCAAUCUCAAAAUAUGAAUUAAUGAGUCUAAAUACUGAAAUCCCACUUAGUAACCUAGCUGCAAAUGUCACAUUUGCAAUCAAAGGUUCGCAAAUAUGGCCUCCAUAAAUACUUAUCACUAAUGCGAAGACUGCUAAGCCUAGAGAAAGUAGCUAAACUGAACCUCAAUCCAACACACACUGAAACUCACCCGAGCCCCUUGGGCUCCACACCAAGCAUCCACACAAACCAAAAAAUAACACACAAACUCAUUUGCAAGCUCAAACAUAAAAGAACAUUCGGAACCAUGAAUAGAACACCAAAACAUAUCGAAUUCACAAUGAAACUCAAGAACUUCUAAAAUCACAACCAAGCAUCUGAUUCCAAUCAAACCAACUCAGAAUGAUAACAAACUUUGCACACAAGUUCCAAAUGACAAAAUGGACAUAUUCCAAGUCCCGAAACCAAAAUCAAAACCCCAUAGCCACAAAAUCAACCAUGGCCAAACUAGAGAAAUUUCUAAAACUUCAAAGUGCUAACUUUUAGCAAAAAUAGCCAAUUCAUCCUAGGAACCUCCGAAUUCAAUUUUGGGCAUGCGUUGAUGUCCAAAACCACCAUAGAAACCUAUUGGAACCAUCAAAAUUGCACCAGGGUCAUUUUGUACAAAAGUCAAACUUGAUCAAUAUUUCCAACUUAAGCUUCCAAACUAAGAACCAAGUGUUCCAAAUCAACCCAAAACCUAUCCGAAUCAAAACUAAUCAUCCUCGUUGAUCACAUAACCACAAAUACGCAUACGAAAAGCUUCAAAAUGGGAAACAAGGCUCAUAUAUACAAAAUGACCGGUCGGAUUGUUACAACAUAUCACACACGCAAGUCAUAAAUCAUCAAAUAGAGCUACGAAAAGUCUCGAAACACAAAAAAGGUAGGUAGUACUCAAAAUAACCAGUCGGGUUGUUAUGAAAACAUGAAGUUUUCAAAACCCAAAAAUCCUAUCCCGUCAUGAUGACGCUUAUCGAUGGUAUUAGGAAAGCCUAUUUUUCAAAACAGUAGUUAAACUCAAAAUACAAUGCGGAAGACCAAACAUCGGGGUUGCACCAAUUCAUAAGCAUUUAACAACCAGUCUAGAUACAGUGUCUACAAGAGUCUGUGUCAAAAUACCAAUACAAGAAAGGAAGGAGAGACAAGGACUACAAAUGCCGGCAGCUACCUCGUGAAUUUUCGAUACUCAACAACACACGAGAUCAAUGAGAUUAAUGUCCUCCGUGAAUGGAAACACCUGGAUUUGCACAUGAAGUGCACGGUUUAUUCAUAACGUCAAAAUCCACUACUAAAAAAUAAAUGGACAUGGUCGCAUGCAAUAUAAUUUAUCCAACUAUGAGUCGGGGUCGAAUCAUACAGAGAACAAUAUGUAGGCAGUUAGGAAUGUAAGAGAGUUAUCACUUGUUAUACAAUGCCAAACACUAAUAAUUUUUUUGAGAAAAUAUUCAUACCCAAAUGCGGAAAUGUAAACUUACCUAGAAAGAAAUUAAAAUGGCUACAAGUAUGGAUGCAUCGGGAAUUACACUCAAGUAACGAUCCAAUUUAUUUCACAAUUUUAUAAUUAUGAGCGAGUUUAUGUUAAUUAGCCGUAGGUAAUAAUUCUAUAUUAGCUUCUUCCAAAGACUAACAAGACUUCCUAAGUGAAAUUAUCCCUAAAACAAUUAAUAGAUUAAGCAAACAAAGAUAUGGUUACAAGUAGUUCAAUCAUAUCCUUAGGUAGAUCCAUAAAAUGAGGGUUAAAGCCUCAAGUUCUUGUUAAUUAAUCUUUCCCAACCCCGAAUAACCUUUCCCAAAAUUAAUUUGAAGUUAAUGGGUGAGUCCUAGGGUUAGCUAAUCCCUUUGGAAACAUUAAAGAACAUGAGUAAUUAAAGGAACAAUAACUCGCUUCAUAAAAGAACAAAAAUAAUUCAAUACAUAGCACAACAAGGUAUUUAAUCGAUACUUUAAAUAUGAUUAUAUCCAUAAAUAAGAUUCAAGUGUUGAAUAAAAUAUCACUCAGUUAGAUAUACAAUACAAAGCAAGGAAAAAGAAAUGAACAUAAAUGGGUAAGAAAUUCUCAACCAAAAGCUGCAAAUCUUCAAGAUCAAAGAGUGUAUGAAAACCAUAGCUUCCAACCUUGUUCUCUAUAGUGUUUUGGAACUGAAAUUAAGCCAAACAACAACAAUUACCCAGUAAAAUCCCAUAUAGUGGGGUCUGGGGAGGGUAAUAUGCGUGCAGACCUUACCCCUGUCCCGAUAGGGGCAAAGAGGCUAUUUUUGAUAGACCUUCGGCUAAGAAUGACGAAAAUAAAAUAAAAUAAAAAAGAGAAUUCAUUAGAAACUGUAGAAGAAAUCGUAAUAGUAACAUAAGCAUAAAAACCAAAAGAUGAAUGACAUGUAAUAGCAGUAACCAAAAUCUAAGGCCCUGGGCUAAGAUAAACAACAAGAAUAGUGUGGGUUCAACAUAAACUGCAAGACAUCUAAGAUCAACCGUAGUCCAAUCCCGCCUCACCCCCGGUAUAAAGUAAGGAAAGCUUUAUUACCCCUAUCCCACAACCGUAAUGCUUGACCUCCAGGCCUUACUAUCAAGGGCCAUAUCCUUGGAAAUCUGCAGUCGUACAAUGUCCUGCAUGAUCACCUCUCUCCAACACUUCUUAGGUCUCCUCUACCUAUUAUCAUACCCACCACGGCCAACCGCUCAAACCUCCUCAACGGUGCAUCAAGGCUUAUCCUUUAUAUGUUCUUGAACCAUUUGAGCCUCACUUCCUACAUCUUGUCAUCCACAAGGGUGAUGCCCGCCUUCUUCCAAAUAUCUUCAUUUCUAAUCUUGUCUAUCCUAGUGUGCCUGCAUCUCUGCUACUUUCAUCCUCUGAAUAUGGGAGUUCUUAACUGGCCAACACUCUACCCCAUACAACAUGGUUGGUCUAACCACAGCUCUAUAUAACUUGCCUUUGAGUAUCGAUGGCACUUUCUUGUCACUCAAGACUCUAGAUGUAAGCCUCCAUUUCAUCCAGCCCGCUCAUAUGCGGUGAGUGACAUCCUCGUCAAUCUUUCCGUCCCCCUGAAUCAUCGACCCAAGGUAUUUAAAUCUAUCUCUUGGGGAUGACCUGUGACCCAAGUCUCAUGACCCCGCCUACUUCCCCCGACUCAACGCUAAACUUGCACUCCGGGUACUCUGUCUUAGACUUGCCUAAUUUGAAACCCUUAGACUCGAGAGUCUGACUCCAAACCUCCAAUCUCUUGUAAACACCAGCCCUCAUCUCGUCAAAUAGAACUAUGUCAUCAGCAAAUAACAUACACCAUGGUUCCUCCCCUUGAAUAUGGUGUGUCAAAGCAUCCAUCACUAAGGCAAAUAAGAACGAGCUAAGCGCAGAUCCCAUAACAACCUGGAUGCUCUGAGUCACUUCUCACAGCCCUAACCUUAGUUUUAGAUCCACCAUACAUGUCUUUGAUCGCUCGUAUGUAGGCUACCAGCAUGCCCUUCACCUCAAGACAUCUCUAGAGCACCUCCUUAGGAACCUUAUCAUAGGCUUUAUCCCAGUCAAUAAACACCAGGUGUAGAUCCUUCUUCUUAUCCCUGUAUUGUUCCACCAACCUCCUAAUAAGGUGGAUAACCCCCGUACUGGAGUGGACUGGCAUGAACCCAAAUUGAUUGUUGAAUAUAGACAUCGUCUUCCUCACCCUCACCUCGACCACUCUCUCCCAAACUUUCAUGGUAUGUCUAAGCAACUUGAUACUCUUAUAAUUGUUACAACGCCGGAUAUCACCUUUGUUCUUGUACAAUGGUACCAGUGUACUCGACCUCCAUUCCUCCGGAAUCUUCUUCGUCCUAAAAAUUACAUUGAAUAACCCAGUCAGCCAUUCUAAUCCUGCUCUACCCACACACUUCUAAAACUCAACCGAAAUCUCAUCUAGCCCGGUUGCUCUACCCCUACUCAUAUUACGCAAAGCCCCCACGACCUCCUCCACCUUAAUGCGCUUGCAAUACCUAAAAUCUCGGAGACUCUCCAAAUUCCCCAAGUCCCCUAGAACUAUAUCCCGAUCUCCCUCCUCAUUUAGAAAACCAUAAAACUAUGCCUGUCAUCUCUGCUUAAUCUGGGACUCUCCCAUCAAUACCCUACCAUCCUCGUCUUUAAUCCACCUUACUUGGUCCAGAUCAUGGGCCUUCCUUUACCUCGCUUUAGCCAGCCAAAAAAACUUGCUUUCCCCAUAUUUCUCCCCUAAUUCCUCGUAUAGACGGCUAAUUGUUGCAUUCUUAGACUCUAUGAACGCCAGCUUUGCCUCCUUGCUAGCCACUUUGUACCUCUCUCUAUUCAGUUUCCUCUCCCCCUCACUUGUGCUCCCUGCUAACUUCGCGUACGUUGCCUUCUUCCCCUCCACUUUACCUUGGAUUGAGUCAUUCCACCACCACUCUCCAUGGUGCCUACCAGAAAAAACAAGCAUACCUCUUCUUCCUCUUCAUCAUAAUUCUUAUGUCCAUCACUAAGAGCCUAUGCUGAGUCGCGAGGGUCUCUCCCAGGAAAAUAUUGCAAUCCUUGCACAACGCUCCAUCGCACCUUCUGAGGAGAAGGUAAUCGAUCUGAGACUUCACCGUCGAACUUCGGGAAGUAACUAGUUGCUCCUCCCUCUUUGAAAAAGUCGAGUUCGCAAUCACCAACUCAAAAUCCUUAGCGAAGUCCAACAACAAAGUACCUUCUCCAUUCCUAUCCCUAAGGCCAAAUAAAUCAUGCACCCUGCAAUAACUACCAGCAACCGCCCCAAUUUUGCUAUUAAAAUCCCCUCCAAUAAAUAACCUUUCAAAAGGUGGAAUACUAUGCACAAUCUCGUCCAAGCCCUCCCAAAAGCGCCUCUUAACCUCCUCAUCCAAGCCCGAUUGCGGCGUCUAAGCGCUACCGACAUUGAGGGUGCACUCACCGAUCACCAACCUAAUAAACAUUAGUCUAUCAUUCACUCACCUAACCUUAACCACAGACUCUCUAAGAUCCAUAUCCACCAAGAUACCCACUCUAUUCUUACCCCUCACGACUCCAGAGUACCAUAACUUAUACCCAUCCGCAUUCCUCGUCUUCGUCCCUGCCCACCUAGUCUCCUGGACACAAGCUAUAUUUAACUUUCUCUUCUGGAUAAUCUUUGUCGACUCAAUAGACUUACCCGCCAGUGUGCCUAUGUUCCAUGACCUGAUCCUCAAUUUACAAGCUCCCCCUUUCCCCACCAUAGNNNNNNNNNNNNNNNNNNNNNNNNNNNNNNNNNNNNNNNNNNNNNNNNNNNNNNNNNNNNNNNNNNNNNNNNNNNNNNNNNNNNNNNNNNNNNNNNNNNNNNNNNNNNNNNNNNNNNNNNNNNNNNNNNNNNNNNNNNNNNNNNNNNNNNNNNNNNNNNNNNNNNNNNNNNNNNNNNNNNNNNNNNNNNNNNNNNNNNNNNNNNNNNNNNNNNNNNNNNNNNNNNNNNNNNNNNNNNNNNNNNNNNNNNNNNNNNNNNNNNNNNNNNNNNNNNNNNNNNNNNNNNNNNNNNNNNNNNNNNNNNNNNNNNNNNNNNNNNNNNNNNNNNNNNNNNNNNNNNNNNNNNNNNNNNNNNNNNNNNNNNNNNNNNNNNNNNNNNNNNNNNNNNNNNNNNNNNNNNNNNNNCCCACCCCCUACUCACCCCCAGAACCCCUCAAGGACAUGACUUUACACUACCACCCCACAGCACAGUCACUAUACUACGGCAAACUCCGGAAAACAUUAACACAGACCCAAACAAGAAAAUAAUCGGUUGCAACUACAAGUAUUCUAAUAAUAUGCUUAAAGUGAUGCUACAUAGCCAUGAAAUUAAUUAACAUAGAGAAAGAGACUAUAAAACAGGAGGUACCAACUCCCAAUGGAAAGAACCUGGAAAUAUGACUUGAUGCACCCGGUGAUGCUCUACUCUACUCGCCUGUAUGCCUCACGCCUGCAUGCAUAAUCGCAACAAUUCCCACGGAUAUAACUUGGGUGCUUUGGAACCCGACGUCUAGCCCUUUUUGACUUCCAAAUGGACCGCUCUUCUUUGCCCGUGCACCUCCCACCCGUCAACAAACAGCCACCAAACGUGUUACCUAAAACACACACACAACACACCGUAGGACUACGAAAGGGAGAGGACUAUCAUCGAAACGGUCGUAGAAAACAGUGUCUGUCCAGAAACAAUGGUACGACGAGGAAAGGUUUGAAGGAAGGGAAAUAUAGUGGAGGAGUCGAAAAAGUAGAAGGAAGACGAGAUGGCACCUGUGGACUAUCGAUCGUGGCCUAGUUGCUGCUAGGGUUAAAAGAAAGGGCAAGAAAGGAGAGGGAAAGAGAUGGCUGAGUACUUACCUGGUUUGCUUGGACAAGUGUUGGAGACGCUGUGGAUUUGCCGGUGGGUUUGCCGGAGGGGAUAAAGAUGUUACCGUUAGGCUUAUAGGCUUAUCGAAGAGAGAGAAAAGAUAUAGCAUCUAUGUGUGUAGUUAGUUCAAUCUUGGAACAGGAAUGCAUAUCACUGUCAGUAAUUUACAACCUUAUUGAAAAAUAGAGCACUUGAUAGAGAACAUAUAUUAUAAAUAACAUAAAAAUUGGUUCCAUAAAGAACUUGGCUUUUAUAGUGAACAGAUAUUAUAUAAUGAUAUUGUUAUAGAGAAGUUUGUAUUAUUUUUAGAAAAGAAAGACCUUGAAGAAACUUUGCAUAUACUAAAAGUUAAAUUUUCCAGACUAGGUUAGAACAAUCAAAAAAAAGAAUAAUAAACCAAGAGAAUUUGGAAGCAUUGAAGGGGGAGAAAGGAUCAUUCUAAGAAGUAGUGCACAAAGCUAUGCAGUCAUAAAAUUACAAAUGACAUGAAAACAAGAACUGGAGAGUGGAGAUCUAGAUUGGAUCCAAGUCGAAAUUAAGCCAAAAUAUCCUGAAAAUAUCUGCUAGGUCGAGUAUUUUUGGGUGUGGGAAUUAAGAACAUAUGAAAUGCCUAAAAUACCUAGGUUUGAUGCCCGUUGACUGCAACACCAAAAUAAUACUCACGGGUGCAUCUCCACAGAUGUGGAUAGCCCAUUGCAGAUGCGAAAUAUGAAGCUGAGUGCUGGAUCAGUAGAUGCAGUCUUCCAAGCACAUAUGGGGAACCACUUCUGCGGUUCUUGAAUUGCAGGUGCAAUCCCAAGAAAAGUUGUUCAGUUCCGUAGAUGCAAACUUCUCCCCGCAGGUGCGAGAUCGCUUCUGCUAUCUGUGUUAUGCAGAUGUGGUAUACAUGGACACUUUUAUAAUAUUUCAACUAAUUUUUGUUCAAUUCCACUUCAAUUCAACACAAAUCACUUCAUGGCAUCAUUUUCCUGAAAGUCAAACAAUACACACUAUAAAUGACCUCAUGCUAUCAUUAAAGGAUGCAAAAUCUAAUGAAAAGAGGCUAAAAUGAGUGGUAAAAUCACCACUCAUCAACAUAUCCAACUUAAAGCUUUUGCUUGUCCUCAAGCAAAUCAAAACCAACAAUUCAAUGAGGUUCUACCAUUUAAAGCACAAGUCAUAUUGCUAGCAUUUACAAAUCACCUCCUCCAAUAAGCAUUAUACUUAUGCAUUUGGCUGGUACUAAUAAUUAGUCUCAAGUAUGGGCAUCUUUCCCGAAUAACUCCCUUAUUUAAAAACAACUUCAAGAAGUGAAAGGGAGUUUAAAAAUAAUCAAUGACAAGAAUAAGCCUUAAGAAGUAACUCAAAAGCACUAGUCCACUACAUGUGCUCAACUUACUCAUUUCCGGGUGUAUCAAUUUCACCAAUCCAUCCUAAUUCAUGUGCCCUUACAAGAAAGGAAGCCAUAAAAUCACUAUAUUUACAAUAUAACAUAAGGGAUAAAUUGACAAAGACACUCACUCUCACAAAGAAUUUCAUGUGUUACAGCAUCUCAUGCCAUAAGCUUGCUCUUAUUUUAAUUCAUCGCCUAUUCAAGAACAUUUGGUUGGAGAUCGCAUAUGGACUUUUAAGCUUGUAUUGUGGGUUUAGGGAAGGGUUAGAUAAGCAUUUGGGAUACAAGUGACUACACCCUCCUUAAAUACUACUCACAUGUUUCUUUAUUUUUGCACUUUGUUUCUUUUCAAACCACAUAGACUCAUUGGCAUCUAGUUAUCAACAUAGAACUACCUUAAAUACCUCUCUCAUUUUCUUCAAGGCUCCAUAUUCAAAACUACCUAGUUCUGAUGCUUGUUGACCACACCUGCGGAAGAAUACUCGUAUGUGCAUCUCCUCGGAUGCAGAAAACCCAUCGCAGAUGUGGAAUGUGAAGCUGAGUGCUGGAUCUACAAAUGCGAUCUUCCAAUCAUAGAUGCAGAACCACUUCUGCGGUUCUUGACUCGCAUGUGCGAUCCCAGAAAAAAUUAUUUAGUUCCACAGAUGCGUACUUCUCCUUGCAAGUGCGAGAUUGCUUCUACGAUCUGUGUUCCGCAGAUGCGGUAUCCUUAGAGAGUUUUGUACUCUAUCAAAAAUUUUUGCUCAAUUCAAUGCAAGUCACUUUAUGGAAUCAUUUUCUAAAAGUCGAACAAUACACACUAUAAACAACCUCAUGUUACAUUAAAAGAUGCAACAUCUAAUGCAAAGAGGCAAAAAUGAGUGGUAAAAUCACCACUCAGCAUCUAAUGUGAGUACAACCAACUCGAUAAUUAACAAUAAUAAUAAGGAACUGAAAGUUAGUGACGAGCUAAACAAUCAUAGUUCAUUUCAUAAAUUUCAGCAAUAAAAGUAGAUAUGAUUCAAUUUCGGUAGUUUAAGUCAAGUUAGUUUCAUAUUGCCAAGUUCAGCUAAAACCGGAUACAAUAUUUUCCAGAAGUUUCAAAACUAUGACAUAAAUUAGUUAAAUGCAGCAACAAAGGAAACAAGUCCAACCUCUCAGGGCCAUAGUCACUCAGGCUCUCAAUAUCACAACACUCGGCUCUCACCCCUCAACACCCAUACUCAAUAGGUACAUGCGCUCACUGGGGUUGUACAAACUCCGAAGGGGCUACUUCAGUCCAAGUGCUAUACCAUUGUGGCGUGAAGCCCGGUCCAAUGUAUAAUUAUCUAUAAGGCUCGUUGCGGCGUGAAACCGGAUCCAUAAUAUAUAAAUAGUUGUAAGGCUCGUUGUGGUGUGAAACCAGAUCCAUAUACAUUUAGCCCUCAGGCUAGUUGCGGUGUGCAACCCGAUCCAUAUACAUUCGUCUCCCAGGCUCGUUAUGGCAUGCAACCUAAUCCAUAUACACUCAUAUAGUUCAUAACUCAGCACUCUGGCUCUAUCUCAAUCACUAACCGCUCCAGUCUCUCGAGCUCUCAGGAACCAUACAAAUCAGCCCCAAAAGAGAUAAUAAAAGGUAUCGAUCAAGAAAACAAGUGUAGACAAAGAUACGAUACGCAAGUAAAACUGUGACUGAGUAUAAUACAACAAAUAGUAGCUAGUUCAACAAGUAUACGCCCUCUACGGGUCCCAACAAUGAUAUCAUAUGGACUAAUCAUGAUUUCUAACAUGAAUUGCAGUCAUAUUUCCACAAAACAGAGGAAACAUGUAGUUAACAGUAAUCUAUUCAACUUUACAGCUUCACGGGACGGACCAAGUCAAAAUCCCCCACAGUGGAUGCCCACCCGCCCGUCAUCUAGCAUGUGUGUCACCUUCAAAAUAAUCACAUCAUGCAAAAAUCUUAGGUUUCAUACUCUUAGGACUAGAACUAGAAUCGUUACUUAGCUCAAAACCGCACAAAACUCUACCCCAUCGUGCCUUUGCCUCUCGAAUCGGUCUCCAAAUGCCCCGAAUCUAUCCACAAGCAGUACGAUAUAAUUAAUAUAAUCGAAAGAAAUCAAUUCCAUCAGAAAACACAAAAUUAUAAGCCAAAUUCGAAUUGGCUAAAACCCGGCCCCCGAGCCCAUGUAUCAAAAUCCGACAAAAGUCACAAAACCCGAAAUCCCAUUCACUCACGAGUCUAACCAUGAAAUUUUAUCAAAAUCUGACACCAUUUGGUCAUCCAAAUACCCAAAAUUCACUCUCCAAUUCUCUAGUCCUCAACCCUCAAAUUUCACCUCAAAAGCUCAUCAACAAGGUGUAAAAUCAGUGGGGAAACAUCAUUAUUGAAGAUAAAUGGGCAUAAGGAUCUUACCUCGGUAAUCACUUUGAAAUCCCUCUCAAACCCCUCCAAAAUCCGACCUCAAGGUGAUGAAAAUGGUGAAAGAUCUCAAAGUCUCAUAUUUAUUUGUUCUGCCCAGGCCUUUUGCACUUGCGGAACCACUUCUAUGGAAACCACUUAAGCCACUGGGAUCGCACUUGCGCUCGAGGUCUCCCACCUGCAGAGUCACUCCUGCAGUCCUUUGUGUGCUUCUGUGUAAAUGUCCAAACCUUCCAUCUUUGCAUCUGCGGGCCAUUCUCCCAUCUGCGGGCUUACCGAUGCACAUUCUUUCUCGCACUUGUUCCCCCUGACCUUCCUAGCCUUACCCGCUUCUGCGGGCUUUCUCUUCGCUUUUACAGGCUCGCACCUGCAAUAAAACUUCAGCAUGUAUGGUUAUACCAGUUGAGUCCAAAUAUCAGCAGUACUCCAACUUCAAAACUUGGUCCUUUAACUCCCCAAAAUCAACUCGGGGCCCUCGAGACCUCAACCAAUCAUACCAUCAAGUCCUGAAACAAAAUAUGAACUUAGUCGAGCCCUCAAAUUAACUCAAACAGCAUAAAAAUAUGAAUUACUCAUGGAUUCAAGCUUAAUGAACUUUGAAAUUUCCGAAUUCUACAAACGACACCGAAACGUGUCAAAUCAUACCCGAUUGACCUCAAAUUUUCCGCACAAGUCAUAAAUGACCCUAAAACGCUACUCCAACUUCAAGAAAUACAAUCCGACCCCGAUGUCAUAAAGUCCACUCCCGGUCAAACCUUUCAAAAUUCUGACUUUCGUCAAUUCAAGCCUAAUUCUACUAUGGACUUCCAAAACACAAUCUGUAUGUGCUCCUAUGUCCAAAAUCACCUAAUUGAGAUUACGAAGCCAUCAAAAUUCAAAUCUGAGGUCGUCUACCCAUAAGUAGACAUCCGUUCAAAUUUUCCAAGUUAAGCUUUCAAUUAAGAGAUUAAGUGUCUCAAUGCACUCCGAAAUCACUCCAGACCAGAACCAACUAACCCAGUAAGUCAUAAUACAGUUGUAGAACACAAAAGAGCCAGGAAAUGGGGGAACAGGGCUACAACUCUUCAAAUGACCGAUCGAGUCGUUACAUCAUCCCCUCUUAAAUAAAUAUUUGUCCUCGAACGGGUCUAGAAACAUACCUGGAGUAUCAAAUAUGUGUGGAUAUCUGCUCCAAAUCUCCCACUCGGUCUCCCAAGUAGUCUUUUCUACUAGCUGACCUCUCCACUUCACCUUUACUGAAGAUAUAUCCUUUGACCUCAACUUUCAAACUUUUUGCUCUAAAAUGGCCAUUGGCUCUACAUCAUUAGUAAAAUCACCAUCCAACUAAAGCAUGCUGAAAUCCAAAACAUGAGACGGAUCACCGAUAUACUUCCAUAGCAUAGAAACAUGAACUAUUGGAUGCACACUCGACAAUCUAGGAAGCAAGGCAAGCUCGUAGGCCACAUCCCCAAUCGUAUGAAGCACCUCAAAUGGCCCAAUAAAUCGAGGGAUCAACUUGCUCUUCUUCCAAAAUCUCAUAACACCCUUCAUGGGUGAAACUUUAGCAGUAUUUUCUCCCCAACCAUGAAAGACACAUCACGGACCUUCCUGUCAGCAUAACUCUUCUGUCUCGAUUGUGCCGCGCGAAGCCGCUUUGGAUUAAUUUCAAUUUGUACAAUAUAUCUUGAGCCAAAUCUGUACCCAUAAGCCCUUACCCGACUCAAACUAACCCACCAGAGAUCUAUACCUCCUCCCACAUAAAGACUCAUAAAGAGCCAUCUGAAUGCUCGAUUAGUGACUGUUGUUGUAAGAAAACUCCACGAGUGUUAGAAAUUGGUCCCAUGAACCCCCCAUAUCAAUGACAUAAUUGCGAAUCAUGUCCUCCAAUAUCUAAAUAGUGCGCUCAGACUGCCUGUCCAUCUGAGGUUGAAAUAUUGUACUCAACUCAACCUGAGUGCCCAACUCUCGCUGCAUGGCUCUCCAAAACUGCAAUAUGAACUGCGUGCCUCUAUCUAAAAUGAAGGAAGCUGGCACACCAUGAAGGCAAAAAACCUCUCGGAUGUAAAUCUAGGCCAGCUUUUUGAAGAAUAAGUAGUACCACCUGGAAUGAAGUGCUCAGACUUGGUAAGUCGAUCCACAAUCACCCAAACAGCAUUGAACUUUCUCAAAGUCCAUGGGAGCCCAACUACGAAAUCCAUGGUGAUAUGCUCCCACUUUCACUUUGGAAUGUGUAACCUCCGAAGAAAUCCACCCGGUCUCUGAUGCUCAUAUUUUACCUGCUGACAAUUGAGACACCGAGCUACAAACCCAACUAUAUCCUUCUUCAUUCUCCUCCACCAAUAGUGCUUCCUAAAAUCCUGAUACAUCUUUAUGGAACUCGGAUGGAUGAAUACCGCGAGUUGUGGGCCUCCUCAAGAAUCAACUCUUGUAGCCCAUCUAUAUUGGGUUCAUAUAUUCAGCCAUGCAUCCUUAAUACCCCAUCAUCACCAAUAGUCAUAUCUCUGGCAUCACCGUGUUGAACCAUGUCCUUGAGGACAAGAAAAUAUGGAUCAUCAUAUUGGCGCUCUCUGAACUGAUCAAAUAAGGAAGACCAAAAAACCAUAAAAGCUAGAACCUGACUAGGAUCCGAAAUAUCCAAUAUCACGAACCGGUUGGCCAUGGCCUGAACAUAAAAUGCAAGAGGUCUCUCACCAAUAGGAAUGAAUGCAAGACUACCCAUGUUCACUACCUUCCAACUCAAGGAAUCGUCCAUCAUAUUAGCCUUUCCCGGAUGAUACAGAAUGGUAAUAUCAUAGUCCUUUAGCAGCUCCAACCAUAUCCGCUGCCUCAAAUUGAGAUCAUUUUGUUUGAACAAAUUCUAGAGGCUACGAUGAUCCUAAAUACCUCAUAAGACAUACCAUAGAGAAGUGCCUCCAAAUCUUCAACGUAUGAACAAUGGCAGCCAACUCCAAAUCAUGAACAGGGUAGUUAUUCUCAUGGGGGAUUCAACUAACGCAAAGCAUAAGCAAUCACUCUACCUUCCUACAUCAAAAAACACAUAAUACCAAUCCGAGAAGCAUCACCAUAUACCGUGUAAGAACCAGAUCAAAUGGUAGAAAUAGAACUAGAGUUAUGGUCAAUGUAGUCUUGAGCUUCUGAAAGAUCGCCUCACACUCAUUUGACCACCUGAAAGUAGUGCCUUUUUGGGUCAAUUUGGUCAAGGGAGAUUCAAUGGACGAGAAACCCUGCACGAACUGACGGUAAUAACAAGCCAAACUAAGAAAGCUCUAAAGCUCUGUAGUUAAGGACGGUCCAGGCCAACUCUGAACCGCCUCUAUCUUCUUCAGAUCUACCUGAAUACCCUCACUAGACAGCACGUGCCAUAAGAACUCAGUGAACUGAGCGAAAACUCACAGUGGGAGAACUUGGCAUAAAGUUUCUCCUCACUCAACCACUGUAACACAACCCCCAAAUGCCGGGCAACUCCUUCUGGCUACGAAAGUUCACCAGGAUAUCAUUAAUGAGCACAAUAACAAAUAAGUCGAGAUAAGGCCGAAACACAUUGUUUAUCAUAUGCAUGAAUGUCGUUGGGACGUUGGUCAGCCCAAAAGACAUCACAAAGAACUCAAAAUGACCAUAGCAGGUCCUGAAAGUUGUCUUAAGAAAUUAGAGUCCCAAAUCUUCAAUUGAAUAUACCUAGACCUCAUAUCAAUCUUGGAGAACACCAUUGCUCCCUGAAGCUGGUCAAACAGAUCAUCAAUACACUAUUAAGGAUACUUGUUCUUGAUUGUGACUUUGUUCAACUGCCUUUAGUCAGUGCACAUUCUGAUAAUGUCAUCUUUUUUCUUCACAAACAGAAAUGGUGCACCUCCAGGGGACAAAUUAGGCCUAAUAAACCCCUUCUCAAUGAGUUCCUGAAGCUGCUCUUUCAACUCAGCCGGUUUCAUGCGGUAUGGAGGAAUAGAAGUGGGAUGAGUGCUCGAUACCAGAUCAAUACCAAAAUCAAUAUCCAUAUCAGGCAACAUGCCCGACAGGCCUACAGGAAACAUAUCCGAAAAAUCUCGCACCAGCGAAAAAAAAUUCAGUAGUAGUAGUCUUUAUAUUGACAUCCCUCACAAAGGACAAAUAAGAAAGGCAACAUUUCCCAACCAUCUAUUGCGCCUUCAAUUAUGAAAUCACUCUACUAGGAACAUAGUCUAAGGAACCUCACCACUCAAUAUGUGGCAACCCCGGCAUAGCGAACGUCAUAGUCUUAGCAUGGUAUUCCAAAAUAGUAUGACAUGGAGACAACCAAUCCAUAUCCAAUAUCAUGUCAAAAUCAACCAUACUCAAUAGCAAAAGAUCAACUCUAGUAUUUGUUCCCCUAAUAGUCACUAUGCACUACUGAUAUACAUGAUCUACAAUAAUAGUAUCUCCCACCUACGUAGAUACAUGAAUAGAUGAAGCUAAAGACUCAUGGGGCAUAACCAGAUAAUGAGAAAAAUACAAUGACAUAUUUGCUCAAAUAAUACAAAAGUAACUCGGUGGCAUACUGAGACAAUACUUGUGAUCACUGUGUCUUAAGCAAUUGCAUCUUGUCUAGCAAGGAGCAUAGAAAUGGGUCAUACUAACACCUAAUCGCCCACCCCCUCUAAGACAGCCCCUAGCCUGACCUACACCUGAUCAGCCUCCCCCUCUAGGGCGACCCCUAGCUGACUGAGAUCCACCCCGAGCAGGCUGGGCAAGUGGUGAAGUAACUAGUGCUGAAGUCGUAGGCUUGCUCCUCUACUCAGCUGGACCUCCCACUAGAUGGGGACACUGCAUCCUGAUAUGCCAAAAUCUUCACACUCGUAGUAACUCCCAGUGAUGGUGGUACUAAAAAGAGCCUUGAUCACCAUGAUGACUGGUUAAAGGACCUGGCAUAGAUGAUCCCUGAAUCGAUAGAGCACGAGACGAACUCUAAGCUAGAAGGUACUAAGAGAUGAGUGAACAUGAUGAGAACUAUGUGAACCAUGGCCACAUAAUGCUCCACGGUUAACUCGGCGAGCCGUCCAAGCAUGCCUAUAGAGACGACCCCUGUCGUGGUGGAACUGACCUCGAGAAGAAGUACCACCAAAACUACCUGAUCCAUGAGACCUCUUGGCCUCCUUCUCAGCCCGCUCCUGGUUGCGGACCAACUCUAUCUGCCGAACAAUGUCAACAAGCUCCUCAAACAUAGCACCCGACACACUUUCUCUCUAGCCAUAAGCACCAGGAGCUGAAAUGCGACGUCGUCAAUGAACCUUCUGAUCCUCUCCCUAUCAAUGGGACCUCAUCGCAUACUGCAUCACAGUUAUAUCAUCCUAACGCAGCUGCUCAAACUGUCUGCGCAGCUCCUCUCUGCGAGACUGUGGCACAUAUUUCCCUAAGAAGAUAAUGGAGAACUCAUGCCAUAUAAGAGGUGUUGCAUCGACCAGCCUACGCCUCUUAUAAUCCUCCCACCAUGUGAAAGUAGAUCCAGAGAACUAAUGCGAGACUGGUCUCCAGAAUACAUGUUAUAAAUCCUAUCACUUAUACAAGAAGCCUUGUGCAUCCUCUCCCUAUGUACCAAUGAAAGAUGGAGGUUGGAGUCUCCCAAACCUCUCCAAUCUAUGUAGCUCAUCAUCAGCCAUGAAAGGAACCACGUAGUCUUGAGCAGGUGCAACCGGCUGGGCAGGUGGUUCCCCUGGUAGCUGGAGUCCCUGCAUCACCUGCUCUAGUGUGCGGGUGGCGGGAGUCUGAGUGCUUCCCACAGCCUGAGAAGUGGCUAUUGCGGUUGAAACAAAGAGCAAGACUGGUGCACAAGGUCAGAAUCUAAGCUAAGGCUUCCUAAAGGCCUAUAAUAACAAUGGGCGCGACUGGUGCCUGAGCUGGUUCCGCUGGCGCAUCCACAACUGGGACCUGAUUCGAAACUAGGGCAACUGGUUGAUCUGUAGGUGUUACCCUAGUUGUUGUGCUAGCUGUACACCUUCCCCUACCGCAGUCUCUACCGCAACCUCGACCCCUUCUGGACCUGGCUGGUGAUAGCAGUGACUGUAUGUCCUGCCCAGUAGUACUUAUCCUCACUUUGAGAGAAUAAAAUAACAGAAGUUUAGUCACUAGUGUAAACCUAUUCGCAUGACAAGAAUUAAAGAAUGUGAAUUUUCAUAAGGGUUCAACAAUCUCUUGAAGAUAAGUACACAUGUCUCCGUAUUGAUCUGCAAGACUACUAAACUUGCUCAUGACUCGUGAUAUCUAUGUAACCUAGGCUCUGAUACCAACUUUUCACGACCCAAUAAUCCUAACCCGUUAGGAUGGCACCUAUCGAUGGUAUUAAGCAAGCCGAUUUUUCAGAAUACUUUAAUUUUUUCACAAAAAUUAAACCAAAAUAUUUUAUUUGAUAGAGUUUUCGAAAAAACAGGAUUUAAACUCAAAAUACAAUGCAAAAGAAUAUCCCCAAACGCGGGGUGUUACCAAGUCAUGAGCAUCUAAACAACUAGUAUAGAAACAGUUUCUACACGAGUCUGUGUCAAAAUACCACUAUGGAAAAGAAAAGAUAACAAGGAAGCAGAGAUAAGGACUGCGAACGCCGAUAGCUACCUCGUGAAUCUAUGAUACUCAACCACGCACGAGAUCGACAUCCUCCAUGACCGAAAAUACCUGAAUCUGCACAUGAAGUGCAGGGUGUAGUGUGAGUACAACCAACUCAGUAAUUAACAAUAAUAAAUAAGGAACUAAAAGGUAGUGACGAGCUACACAAUUAUAGUUCAUUUCAUAAAUUUCAGCAAUGAAAGUAGAUGAUUCAAUUUCGGUAGUUUAAGUCAAGUUAGUUUCACAUUACAAAGUUCAAGUAAAGCCAGAUACUAUAUUUUCUAGAAGUUUCAAAACCAUGACAUAAAUCAACUAAAUGCAGCAACAAAGGAAACAAAUGCAACCUCUUAGGGCCAUAGUCACUUAGGCACCCAAUAGCUCAACACUCAACUUUCAGCCCUCAAUACUUACACUCAAUAGGUACUUGCACUAACUUAGGGUGUGCAGACUUCGGAGGGCCUCCUUAUGCCCAACACUAUAUCGUUACGGUGUACAACCUGAUCCAAUAUAUAAUUAGCCAUAAGGAUCGUCGUGUUGUGCAACCCUAUCCAUAAUAUAUAAAUAGAUGUAAGACUCAUUGUGGUAUGUCAUCCGAUCCAUAUACACUCACAUAGCUCACAGCUUAUUCACCAACCAUUCCAGUCUUUUGGGCUCUCAAAAAUCGUAAAAAUUAGCCCUAAAAGAGAUAAUAACGGGUAUCGAUCAAGAAAACAAGAGGACAAAGAGAUAUGAUAUGCAAGUAAAAUUGUGGCUGGGUAUAAGACAGAAAAUAGCAGCUAGUUCAACAAGUAUACGAUCGAUGCGAGUUCCAACAGUGAUAUCAUAUGGCCUAAACAUGAUUUAUGACAUGAAUUGCGGUCAGAUUUCCAUAAAAUAAAGGGAACGUGUAGCUUAACAGUAAGCUAUUCGACUUUGCACCUUCAAGGGACGGACCAAAGUCACAAUCCCCCACGGUGCACGCCCAUACGCAUGUCACCUAGCAUGUGCGUCACCCCCAAAAUAAUCACAUCAUACCAAAAUUUGAGGUUUCAUAUCCUCAAGACCAUAUUUAAACCUGUUACUUACCUCAAAAUCGCGCAAAACUCUACUUCAAAGUGCAUUUGCCUAAUCCCCUGAAUCUAGCCACAAGCAGUACGAUAUAAUUAAUAUAAGCUAAAGCUAUCAAGUUCGUAAGAAAAAACAAAAUUAUAAGCAAAAUCCAAAAUUGACUCAAAUCCGGCCCCUGGGCCCACAUAUCAAAAGUUAACAAUUGUCACAAAACUUGAAAAUUCAUUCACUCACGAGUCUAACCAUAUCAAAUUUAUCAAAAGCCGACACUAUUUGUUCGUCCAAAUCUCCAAAAUUCACUUUCCAAUUCUCUAGCCCUAAACUCCAAAAUUUUGCCUCAAAAACUCAUCAACUAGGUGUAAAAUCAGUGGGAAAACAUUAUUAUUGAAGAUAAAUGGGCACAAGGAGCUUAUCUCAAUAAUAACUUCAAAAUCCCUCUUAAAACUCCAAAAUUUGAGCUCAAGAUGAUGAAAAUGGUUAAAAUUUUCAAUGUCUCGUAUUUAUAUGUUUUGCCCAGGCCAUUCGGGCAGAAACCACUUAAUCCAUUGGGCCUGCACACGUGCUCCAGUUCUCGCAUCGGCAGAGUCACUCAUGUGGCCCUUUGUCCACUUCUGCAGAAAUGUCCAAACCUUCCAUCUUUGCAUAUGCGGGCCAUUCUCAUCAUCUACGGGCUCGCAGAUGUGCAUCUCUUCUCGCACAUGCGCUCCCUGCCUUUCCUGUCCUUGCCCACUUCUGCAGACAUUCUCUUCGGUUAUGCGGGUUGGCACCUGCGAUGAAACUUCUGCAUGUGCUAUUACACUAGUUGAAUCCAAACUUCAGCACUCUUCCAACUUUAAAACUUGGUCCGUUAACCACGCGAAAUCAACCCGAGGCUCCCUGGACCUCAACCAAACAUACCAUUUAGUCCCAAAACACCAUAUGAACACAGUCGAAUCCUUAAAUCACCUCAAAAAACAUCAAAAGCGUGAAUUGCUCACAGUUUCAAGCCUAAUGAACUUUGAAAUUUUUGAAUUUUACAAACGACGUCGAAACCUGUCAAAUCACGUCUGAUUGACCUCAAAUUUUGCACGCAAGUCAUAAAUGACCUUACAAGCCUACUCCAACUUUCUGACAUCCAAUCUGACCCAGAUACCAAAAAGUUCACUCCCAGCCAAAUCUUUCAAAAUUUUAGCUUUCGCCAAUUCAAGCCUAAUUCUACUGCGGACCUCCAACAUAUAAUUUGGACGCGCUCCUAAGUUCGAAAUCGCCUAAUGGAGCUUACAGAACUAUCAAAAUUCAAAUCCGAGAUUCUUUUAUGUAUAAGUCAAUAUUAGGACAACUUUUUCAACUUAAGCUUUCAAAUGAGACUAGAUGUCUCAGUUCAAUUAAAAAUCACUCCGGACCUGAACUAAAUAACCUGGUAACUCAUAAUGUAGUUGCAGAAUACAAAAAGAAGCAAGAAAUGGUGGGGGGGGAAGGGAGGGGAUGGGGCUACAACUCUUAGACGACCGAUUGAAUUGUUACAACAGUAGAUACUAUUUUUCUUCUUAAUUAGUUUCUCUUUUUUUAACUGUUUAUAUGUAUACCGCAUAAUUUUAGGAAAAGAAAAGGGAUACCUAUAGAAGUCAUAAUAGUUAUCGCUCAUCUACCCAUUAAGAGUCCUACCCACUACUACGGUUACUACCUAUUUAUGCGUAAGGACGUUGAAACCAUCGCUAGAUUUUAGCGAAUCAAACACAACCCUAACAUGCAGUACCUUUAAUGCUGGAAAACGCUCAAACCCACUAAUAAUUUAAGCAGAGCAACGCAGCAAAACUAGAGAUCAAAGCUGAAUUGUUAUUUGAUUUUUAUAUCAAAGCAUUAAACUUUGCAUAACAAUGCUGAAAUUCACACUACGAAAAAUUCGAAUUGAAAAUCAACAUUGCUGAAAUUCAUACAAUUCGUGUCCAAAAAUUAUUUUCAAUUUGAAAAUUAAAGCUUUGUUUGAAGUGAGUACAAAGUCAUAUACUGGUGUUGAAUCUUACUGCAGAAAUUUAACUUUGCGUUUCAAAUUUUGUUAUCAAUAUGGAGAUCAAAUUUACUUUGAAUUGAGCACAAAACUCGUAUACCAAUGGUAAAACACAGCAGCGGAAAAACAAACUUUAAACUCAUAUUCUAUUUUUGAUUCAGAGAUUAAAGUUUUAUCUGAUUUAAGUUCGAAAUUUGUACACGGCAAAUCACAAAAGUUGAAAUCUGAAUAUUCAACUGAAAUGCUAUUCUUCAUCUACAGAUCAAAAUUUUAUGUUAUGUGUUCGAAAUUCAUAUGUUAAUGUUGAAAUUUAUGCUACUUAAAUUACCAAAAUUGACAUUAACUCCGAUGAAAUUUGCACGGUUCAAAUUCGAUUUUGGAGAUCAAAGCUGUUUAAUUUGAUUACCUAAGUUGAAACUUUGUGUAACCAUGAAAAAUAUGCCGAUUUUACUGCAGCACAAUGAAGAACGAGACAAUAAUCAUAAUUUCAUAAAUCUUCAUGUUUAUGCAAUUUUAAUAAAAAUUAUUGUAGUUUUGAACAACUGAUCACAGAGAUUACAAAGCAGCUGCAGAAGGACAGUAGCAUAAUACUUAUUCAAUAUGUUAUUGCUCAGGGAUAUCCAUUAAUUUUAAGUUGUAAUGAUUUGAGUGUUAGCCUUUAUAUGACAUUGAAGAAGUUAAAUACAGGAAUAAAAAGACUCCCACUGUGUGUUGUUAAGUACUAUAGCUGCAAACUUCUCAUGUGUCGGUGUUGCUGCAGCUUUAUUAGAAAGUAUACACUUCUUAAAGUUAUCAUCCAUAAAUGAGUCUGAUACCAGUAAUAUGAUAAGUAAUGUGAGAAAGGAAGAUGACACCAGUACAAUACUUUAUGAUGCAAACAUCAUAACUAAUCCAUUCCAUCAAAAAGGAAAAAAAAGCAAGGGUACAAAGACAAAAACCUCCUGGUUGUUAUAAUAAAAUACUAUGUUGUUAAUAAAAAUAUCAAUAUUUGGUUGAUAAAUCAUGUACAAAAAGAUUCAUGUGUAUUUUUACUAUAAGUCUGUAUGCUUCUUUUUGUUGUUGUAGUUGCUAUAUCAUAUUAAGUGGUAUGUAAUCACACUAAAAUAUUCUAAAAUAUUGUUAUAGUUAUCUUCUGUCAAAAACAGGUUGUUAGUAAUACAAUAGUAUAUAUGUAUAUUAUAUUAGAUCAUUCGUUUGCCUGUCUAUAACUAUACUUGCAUUAUAAGCGGGUAUAUAUCCUUGUUUGUGUGGACGAAAGAUGCAAUUGGAGCCUUGAAGCAUCGAGUCUACAAACAUCAAAACCUGUUAAAGUGAAUUUCAAUUAUGUGCAAUAUUCUUGAGACAAUAAGAGAUUAUGUUCACAAAAGCAAGUAAGCCGCCUCGGGUUUUAUUGUUGCUAUAUUACAAGACAAGUUUGUUGAUCCAAAAACUAUAUACACCACUAAUAGAUAUCCAAAGAGACAUACAAAAAGUAUAUGAUAUGAACUUAAGCUACAUGCCAGCAUGGUGAUAAAAGGAAAAAGCAAUAUAAUUAUUGAGGAACCUAACAGACUUAUACAUAAAAAUACCAAUGUAUCUUUAUAUAUCAGAGUAAACUAACAUGGGACAAGUGACAUAACUACACACUAAAGUAGAUGGAUGCUUAUUAUAUGCCUUCAUAGCCAUAAAUGUAUCAGUUAAAAAUUGGAUCUAUUGUAGGUUUAUAGUUAUAGUUGAUGGAAGUUUUUUAAAGUCAACACAUAUAGGGGUCAUACUUAUGGCAUGUGAGCAAUAGUUUCAAAAUUAUUAAAUAAUUCUUAUACUUUAGUGGUUCAAAAAUACAAUCGAAUAGCAUUCAGUUGAGCAUAAUAAAGGUUCUAGUAACCAUAUAAUACCAAUAUGACAUACAAAUAGAGUAUACAGUUGUUAUGAUCCAUUUAUGCAACUACUUAUAACUAUACUACUGUACCAAAUGGUAUACUAAUAUUUUAUUUCUCACCAAUAUUGUUUUAUUUGGCUAUGCAGGACAAAUUUUACUCUUUGCAUACACAAUUGUUGAGUCAGAAAACUAUGCACCAUGGGAAUAAUUCUUUGAGCGGUUCAAAGAAACCUAUGGAGAAAGGAAUGGGAUACGCAUCAUAUCUGACUGGCAUGAUAGCAUAUGAAGAAAAAAUUCUAUUGUUUAUCCGGAAGUCCCUUGUUGUGUAUCAUGUUCCAUACAUUGAACAACAUAAAGACAAACUUCAAGAAGAGCCAAAAUAAAUUUAAAAAGUAUAUUUUGCAUUAGCAAGAGCAUACACUAUAGAAGAGCUCAAUAGGCAUAUAGCAGAGUUAGAAGCUAUUGGUAGUAGAGAGAAAAUAUACUUUAUCAAACAUCGAAUAUGAUAGAUGAUCCCAGGCACAUUCCAAGAAAGAUAACUAUGACCAAGACGGUAAAUCUGGCAUGCUAUAUUGCUAUCAGAUAUCUGUUCGUCUAUAUUGCCGUAGAAAAAGGCUUUUCUGGUGUUCCUAUUGAUGUUAGUUUUUCUUACCCGCAUCUUCUGGUAAAUGCUAAACAACCGUUCACUCGUUAUAUGUUUUAUAGAAAUUCAAAGAACAAAUUUCAGAUCUGUAUUAUCAAGAGGUACAUCACAGCUUUUAAAUCAUUGAUCCAGUUCGGUCAAUAGUUUGACCGGUCGUACCAUUCUUGGAUGAAAUGUGCAACUUUUUUCAUGAUUGCUUUGGAGGACAUGGCAAAUGCAACAAGCUUGUAUGCUAUAUCUUUAUAAUACAUUAGCUAUGUUUUUUAAAAAGGACAGUAACUAGUUUAAUAAAAAAUAUCAAAUGGCUCUCUAGAAUCAACGAUUAGAAGAAAAAGAAAAAAAAAAUGGGUACCCAAUCUAGGCGGAUCAAAUUACGUCUGUACCAUCAGAAACUGCUGAAACACAACUUGGAAUUCUUAAAAUAGAAAAGAAAACACUAUUAACGCCUUUGUCUUCUCGGAUAUUUCCUCACGUCAAAAAUGUGGGACGUUUCUCCUAUGUAAGAGAAAACACCACAAAUAUGGAAGCAAAGUAACCUUGAAGCUGGAAUGAAUUAAGAGAAUUCCAAAAUAACCAACUUUGACCUAAACUAUUCAUCACUUUCUGCUUGAAAGUAAACAGUCUACAAUGAUCUCAGAGUAAGUGCAUUAUGAAUAUACUUCCAAGUUAUGGGGAGGAGAUAAAACUAGGACUUGGGCUUCAAAGCCAAACCUGUUUCAACUUUCUUAAUUUCAAAUAUAAGCAUCCUCCACAUCUUCAGAACAAACAUUUCAGCUUCUUCAUCUAAUAUACUUUGGAGCCUUUCCAGCAUCUCAGUUGCCUUGACAUGUUCUUGAGUGCUGGAGACAAUGUAGUCUACCAGCGUUGGUUCCUCCUCGCCUAGAAAAUCAGUGAUCUUCUUACUGAUCCACGGUCUCAUCCUUUCAUGUAGUGCAUUCUGUGGAAAGCGAAAAGCAGAUAUAAACUACAAAUAUUCACGCUUCCAGCAAACCAAAUAGAAGCCACGAAGAGCGAGGUAACUUGGAAAAAGCUCAGAACACCAACUUCAAGUUAUUAUAUCCUAGGGAUUUAGCUUCAAAUGAAACAAAGUGUGAUCUAAGCUUGGGGCUCCAACAGGAACCAAAGUGCUAGAUGCAGAGCUCACACACUAGGCAAUACUGAGAAAAUUUCAUAGGAUGUUAGCGUUCCUAAUGCUGUAACUUGCAAGGAGGAUCUAAUAUCAAGUUGAAGAGCUCACAGUAGGCAAAACUGUGAAAAUUUCAUAGGAUGUUUAAUUCACAAUGCUGCAACUUGCAAGGAGUAUCUAAUAUCAAGGACAGCUGGAAAGCAUCCAAUUUUCUAUCCACCUAUCAGCAGUGGUCCUUGCUGCAAACAAUUCUUUCAAGUCACAGUACUCUCUAGCGAUGAAAUCUUACCACAAAACUUUGGACGCCUAUAUUACUAUUUGACCCUCACCACUUUGUCAGGAAGUUCAAAUAUUAUUUUCUGUCAACUAUCCAAGUCAAGCUUAAUAUUCUUUUCACUCAAGAAUCUGAUCCGGCUAGAAGCUAAUGAGCAGCAGUGUUAAAUGCCCUCUUAAGGUAUGCUUAAGCCUUGCGUCCAGAAUUUUGGUGCAUUGCACAUUUAGGCGCUUCACCUCACAUAACCGUCAUUUUAGUGCAGGCCGCGGGGUGGGCCUCAAUAUCUAUAGGCUCUUUAGUAAAGAGGAUAGCACUAAUGGGUAAUGACAAACAACAACAACAACAACAACAACAACCCAGUAAAAUCCCACAAGUGGGGUCUGGGGAGGGUAGUAUGUAUGUAGACCUUACCCCUACCCCGGAGGAGUAGAUAGGCUGUUUCCGGAAGACCCUCGGCUCAAGAUAAUAAGAGUAAUGACAAAGUAACAUAAUAAUCAUCAAAAUUCAUGGAUAAAUAUGUUCAUGAUUAGGAACAGAAAAAUGGAAUUUAACAAUAGAAAACUAGCCAACUUAAGCAGCUUGCAUCUGAAUCUGAUAUCUGAAAUUUAAAAAAAAACAUUUGAACUUGAUAAAUAUGGUUUUUUACUUCAUAUAUUAUACUUAAUUAACAGUUUUCAAUUCUUUGAUUCAUAUAAUUAUUUCAUUAGGGUUUGCAGUAAUGUUUCCUUGCAUACAAAAACUCAAAGUUCAAUUGCACUUCACACUUAACGCACCAACAGACACUUCACACUUUUCUACGCUUUUCGCAUCUGAUUACACUGGUGAUGAGUUGAAUCAUAUUUCAGAAAGCUAGAUAAUUCCUGAACAAAGUUUAUCUAAUUGCUGAAUACAUGGUUCAGCAAGAAAGCAACUAUGUGGUGCUCAAUAGAGAAAUGAAGCUAAACUAUAUUGGUGCUUGAUAGAGAAAAGAAAAUAAGACCAGUUAGAAUUGCUGUUUAAACUUCUUAGCUGAUGGACCUUGUGCAGCAAAGUUGUUUCCUUAAUAUAUUAACAUAUCAUCGGGAGAUGCAUCUAAAUACCUUCUCCUUCCUAAAGAUCAACAUUCUGUUCUUGUUACCAUUUAUAACUGGUAAGAUGCUUUUCCACAGCUCAAUAUUAUAACACAAAAAGCCAGAACAUGGAGUCUCUUUAACGCAAAACCAAUUCCCCCCUCCAAAAUUAUCCUACAUAGCUGAUAAAAGAUAUCAUAAUGUGGAAAGCAGCACUUACACGCACACCUCAACCAAACAACUAUUGACACUCAGAAAUCACAUACAGUGCAGCUAAAACAUCUUUCAAAAAGCUAAGUGUAACUACUGCAAAGUAAUCACUAGUAGAUCCACAGCAUCUUCCAAAUUCAUACAGUGGAGAACAAUUAUGAACACAUAAGCUAGACUCCUCAUAGGUGAGUCCAUGCAUUAAUCUACUUUUAUCAAGAAUGAAAUAGGAAUUUUCCACGCCAAGUUUACCUCCUUUUGACAAAUGACUUCGUCUCCAUCCUAAUCAAAUGUUUUGUAUCCAACGUGGACUUUCAGGUGGCCACACACAGGUAAAGCAGAUGCCUUAUAAAAUAUAACAAAUAAAAACCUAUUAUAGUAACCACUCAUGCCUUCUCUAGUCCCUACUAAUUACCAUGAAUCGAUCUAAAGCGCUAAAGCUAAGAACACCAUAUACGAUCUAAUAAAAAGCCUAUCCUCAUUUAUCACACAGCAGUAACCCAAGUUUUAGAACUAGCAUACAUCUCGGGCAAAUGUCAACAGAUACACAAUGCCUUAGGAGUUCAGUGGCAUCUACCCACAAGAAAUACUUGAGGAACACAUUCAUCAGCUCCCUUUCUUGUGAAAUUAUAGUAAUAAAGCAAACAUCAGGUUGAUCUUACUAGUAUUAUGCUCAAACAUAAAAAUAGUGACAACAGAAACAUGUGAUUGGAAAGGACUGACUAUUUCUGGGGCAGAGCCUAUAUCAAACGUUUGGCUGCAAUAGGUCAAAUUCUAUCAGCUAAACUAGAUUUUCAUUGACAUAUGGACAAGCUCUACUAGAGGAAACGUGGACUUUCAGGUGGCUGCAAUAGGUCAAAUCCUAAUCAAAUGUUUUGUAUCCGACGUGGAUUUCAGGUGGUUACACAAAGGUAAAGCAGAUGACUAAUAAAAUAUAACAAAUAAAAACCUAUAUUAGUAACCACUCGUGCCUUCUCUAGUCCCUCCUAAUUACCAUGAAUCAAUGUAACCACUCAUGCCUUCUCUAGUCCCUACUAAUUGCCAUAAAAAAUAGAUUUUCAUUGACAUAUGGACAAGCUCUACUAGAGGAAACUUUUGAUACUUUACCCAACUAUCAACCCUUGUAGCAUAAAAAAGCCCACCAAAUCCUAGAAGGUGGGUGGGUAUACUAUCUCCUCCCCCUCUGCUUUAUGUAACUUGCAGGAACACAUCAAUAUGAAAAUACAAAACUAUGUUCCUCUUACCAUGAUCUCCGUACAUAAGAUGAGCCAUUACCAAGUAUAUGCAAAGGGCCACUAACAGGCUAGAAGUUGAAGGUAUCAUACAACUCUAAGAUAAAAUCAUGUCAAAGGUCUAGCAAUGAAUUUAACUUGAUAGUAUUUGCUACAAUCCAGUGAAACCUUCUCAUGUAUUAAAGGAGGAGAUUGAAACUGAGGUACCAGUUCUCACCUUGUCAUAAAUAGUCCAGUUUAUCUCAUAUGAGAACAACUCGUCUUUGGUCUUUGGAAUCAUGUCAAUCAAUUGUUUUGCAUCUAAAAGCUUCUGAUUAUCAAGCGUCUUAACCUUAUCAGGCCUGGGUUCCCGAACUCUGUCAUGAUCAAGGUUUCUGCUCUCAUCCCUGGCUCGUUUAGUAUCUUCAUCAAGCUUGUCCCGAUCCCUCUGGCUGGACCUGUCAUGAGUUCUUCUGUGUCUGUCCUCUCCAUCAGGCCUCUCUUCUUUAGGAUUGACAUUCGAAAAUCGCUUAGGUUCUGCACCCACAGCCUGUGGUGAUUCAGAGAUGGAAGGUUGGACCAUAUGUCGCUCGUCAAUGGAAUAGUCAAUUGGAACCAAUGGCCUCAUCUUCUUUUCUUUUUGAGUGUCCUCAUCCUCAUCUGCGUUGAAAACAGAAGGGACAGCAGCUCUUUUCCCCGACCCUAGGAGGCCAAAUCCCAAUCUUUUCGCUGGGGCAUUGCUAUUAUGCUUCAUAUCUGAUGAAGCAGUAGCUGCCAAUACGGAUUCUUCAUCGGUCCCAUUUUGCACAACUCCUUCACCUGUUAUUUGAAUGUCAAAACCAAAUAGAAAGAUAGAGCACAAGUCAUAAGAAUAAAAUCUUAAAAAGAAUAAACUAAAAUAGUUACCCUGACUUAAAUUAUCAUGAGCUGUCUCAAUAUUCUUAUCUUGGCUUUCUAGAUUGUUCUCCUCAUAGGAAACAGCUUUCUCGCGUCCAUUAGCCAGAUGACCAGAAAGGAUUUUCAAUGCCUCCUCCUGCUCUUUUUUCUGAUGUUCCUCAUCUGCUCUUCUCUUAGCCUCAGCAAUCUCUUCUUCUUCUUUAAGCCUAUCGGCCAAGUCAUCUUCUUUCUCCCUCUGCCGUCGUUUCCUUUCCUCGUCACUAGUCCUGUGUUUCCUUUUCCUAUAACCAUCUUCACUUUCACGUUCUUGCUCAUUUAUAUCCUUCUCCCUCUGCCGUCGUUUCCUCUCCUCGUCACUAGUCCUGUGUUUCCUUUUCCUAUAACCAUCUUCACUUUCACGUUCUUGCUCAUUUAUAUCCCAUUUGCGCUCUUGAGCCCUUUCUUUCUCCCUUUCUCUCUCUUUUUUCCGCCAAUAUUCCCUCUCCCUUUCUUUAGAUUCCCACUCCUUUUCACGGACCUUGUACCUACGCUCAUCUUCGCGGAUCUUGUAAUCUCUCUCCUUCUCUCUCUUGGCUCGUUCUUGUUCACGUUCUCUCUCAUACCUUUCGAGUUCCCUUUCCUUUUCCCUCUUCAAAUCCCUCUCUCGAUCCCUACUUCUCCUAUCAUGCCUACGAUGGUCAGGUGAGCUAAUAUCAGCCUUGUCAUGCCCACUUGUAGUUUUACUUUGACUGAUAUAUUCGUCAUCAUUUUUGUCUUCUGCAGUGUUUCCAAAAUUAUAUUUAAACGUGUCAGAAAAGCAUUAAGACUAAAGCACUAAUAUUUUUUUUAUAACAUCUAGGCAAUAAAGGAAAUAUGCGAAAGUAAGAAAAAAAAGAUGGCAUUUUAGCGGUCCGAUAAACUAACCAAUUUUUGCUGUAUCUCUAUCUGCUUCCCCAUCUUUGGGGUUUUCCAUAUUCGGGUUAUCAGAACCAUCUUUAGUCGUUUGUGGAGGUGGAGGUGGAGGUGGUAAUGGUUUAUUCUUCAGCCUUUCCUCUAGCACAUCCUUGAGCUUCUCCAGGGCCUCCUCGUCAGCUUGCCUAUCUUCAUCAUUGACCAGACCGAAAUUAGCAGCAUCAAAGUUUCCUUUCUCACCACUAUCUUUCUUUGAUUCUUCUGUAGUAGACUCUGGAGGUUCUAUAGAAGUCUUUGCACUUUCACGCUUUUCCCCACCUGAUGCACUUUCUUCUUCUUUCUCAGCGCCUUCAGUUUCAGAUUCUUUGGGCUUCUUUGAGGUUUCUACUACUUUCUUCUCAACAUAACGUUCAAGGUAAUCACGAGUUGCUUGAUUGACAUUUAACUGCAAUGAUACCAAGUAUAACCAGGAUUAGAAGUUGAAAUUUAACUUCCCCCUUAAUAAGCUAAGGAUGUAACAUGAAUUGGAGGAGAGCCCAUCUAAGCCUGUAGGCUAUAACAUGACUUGGUCAUAAAACAUGCACAGAGAACAAAUGUUCAUAUUUGCCAAACAUUGGGGAAAGAUGCUGAAAAUAUUUAGUAGACAGAUGAGCUGCAAAGGCACUCACUGUCAGAUGGAAUGAUAACUAAUCAUAAAUUAGUUUCAUCAUUCAUGACAUGUUCAUGCUGCAAAUUAUAAUUGUACUAAAAUGCAUAGUUAAAAAUGAAAAACCUAUUUAUUUAUUUUGGACAGUUGAUUGAUUGAUUGAUUGAGAGAGAGAGAGGGAAAAGCCACAAUUAUACCAUCAGCUCCUGCCCAUCAAUGUUUAAUUUGUUGAGCAAUCUCAAUGCACGGAGAACCCCUUCAGCAGACUCAAACUCACAAAAUCCAAAACCUUUCAGAGAUCCAUUUGUUGGAUCUUGAGCACGCUUCCAACUCCUAACAGGCCCGCAGAGCUUUACAAAUCAUACAGCAGAAAGAUCAGUUAAAUUUAGAGAUCAUAAACACCCCUAUAUAUACUGGGAUUUGCAAGGCAGGAAAAGGAUUCAUUGUGUACACAAACAAGCGAGAAACGCAAAAAUGAACAAAGCUCCACUCCCCAAAAAGUAAUUACAGGAAAAGGAUUCAUUGUGAACACAAACAAGUGAGAAACGCAAAAACGAACAAAGCCCAAAAAGUAAUUGAAAUGUCAAUAUGUAAAUUCACUCACCUGCAAAAGAGAAAGCAUAAACUCAUUUUCUGCAGUGGACGAUAUCUUGCCAACAUAAACUGUUGUUUGUGGUUUCUCUGCUUGAGCAAUGCUUGGGAUGGCAGCUGGCCUAGCAGCAGGAGGAAUAAUUGGAGGACGUAUUAUAGGGAUUGGAGGGCGCAUCAAGGAAGGAAUGAUGCCAAUUGCACCUGGUGGACGUGGAGGAAACAUUGGUCUCAUCAUUGGAGUGUAUGGUGAUGCGUAACGCGGAAUUCCUGCAUAAAUGCAAAAAGAAGUCUAGGAAUAUUUAUUAGGUCAAGCUUACAAAGCAGAGACAAUUUUAACACUCAAUGCCUACGUCUCAAUAUAACGUGGAAUUCCUGCAUAAACGCAAAAAGAAGUCUAGGAAUAUUUAUUAGGUCAAGCUUACAAAGCAGAGACAAAUUUAACAAUCAACGCCUACGUCUCAAUCAUGAAAGAUAACUGUAAGGCUGAACAAAAUGUUAUUACCAAACAUUACAAGCAUUAUGAUGGCACCAUAAGCAUGACAACACUCACC
rnacentral:lncRNA from 1 species